rnacentral:lncRNA from 1 species
UGAUGAUGGUGUAAGAAAUUACGGAACGUUUGAAUAGUUUGAUAGGUGCAUAAACUGUUACUAUUAGAUUCUUAAAACAUGGCUAUAGAAAAACAAUGAUGUUUCUGUUCAUUAACGUAACAUCUUUGUUAUUUUUUGUCUAGAGUGAGAUCAUAACUCAUUGUAUUCUAAUGCAUUGUAUGAUUGAGUUAUCAUUAUUGUGAAGAAAAAAAAUGUGAGAAGUUACGUAUUAGAUUAGUUUAUUAGAUAGAAUAAUUAGAGAAUAGAAAUUAAACCUUUUUUAGAGGUGUCACAUAGGCACAAUCCUAGCAUUAGAGUUUCUUAGAAAUUGUGAUUGGGCCUAACACAACCCCACAAAAUCGGUUUAUGAGGUGAGGAUUGCCCCCACUUAUAAACAAAUUGUCAGGCCAACUCCUAACCGAUGUGGGACUCUUAACACACCCCCUCACGCUCAGGAUUACACAUCUAAAGCGUGAACAUAAAUGACGGGUGGCCCGAUAACGGAAACCUGAUAAUAGGUGGCCCAAAGAAUCGUUAAAAGGCUCUGAUACCAUCUUAGAAAUUGUGGUUGGGCCUAACACAACCCCACAAAAUCGGCUUAUGAGGUGAGGAUUGCCCCCACUUAUAAACAAAUUGUCAGGCCAACUCCUAACCGAUGUGGAACUCUUAACAGAGUUAGUCAAGUUUAGUUUACAAAGAGAAGAAAAUAUAGAUAGAUAGAUAGAUAGAUAGAUAGAUAGAUAGAUAGAUAGAUAGAUGCGCCAAAGAUGCGACACCCAUCUUGUUCCUCAGCUCCUUAAACUUUUCAUGCUUCACAAAUUUUGUUGGAAUGUCUGCUUCAUAUAUAACAGUAGGACAAUGUAACAGUUUUAGUCUUCUUUUAUUUACUUGAUCUCGUGAUUCCUUGUCUCAAUGUGUUUACGGUAAAAUGUCACAAUAUUUUUUCAGAUAGGUAAAGUUUCAUAGUGUUUAAUUUAAGUUUAACAAUUAGAUUGGAGAAAAAUAUGACAACUUAUAAUUUUUUUCUUGAUUUACAUUGUAUUUCAAAUGGUUCAAGUAAAAAAUAAUAAUUUAUUUAAUAUGGUUCCUAAUCUUCACAUAUUCUUUUCCCAUAACUUAUAAUAUAUUAAAAUAGACCUCGAAAUUAUUUGUGUACAACUCAUCAAUUAUACGCUAGAUGAUUACCUCACAUCCUCCUCUAAUCACUACACUCCAAAAAAAAUCAUUCCAAACACUUCUUUUAAUUCAUUUCUCAUUCUCUUUUUUUAUUUUUAUUUUUUUUAAUUUUAUUUAGAGGUGACGCAUAUGCAUAAUCAUAGCUUAAGAAUAAUGAGUCAAAUUUAAUUUAAGGGAAUAUUAUCUUUGAGGUACCAUAUCAUCACAAUGCUAGAUCAAGAGUAACUCAAACUUACUUUACAAUAUAAAUAUAGAAGACAAAUAUAUAAUUGAUAUAAACACUUAUACAUUCAACCUUAACCUCAUAUUUUCUAAUAUAUAAAAUCCAUAUAAACUUUAUUAAAUUAAAUCUAAAAUAUUGCUAAUAAAUUUAUUAAACCUUAAUUAAAAGAAAACAACUAAAUAGCAAUAAUGUCAUUUAAGUAUCCUUAAAAUAAAGUAGUAAUAAAACUUCCCCAAAAGAAUGUGAGUAUAGUUAGACAAUUUCAUAAGAUGCACCCAAAUUUACUCUUAAUUGUAGGAAACUCAAUUGAUGGAAAGUAUGAAGGUCAACCAAUUUCAUGAUCAAAGGUUAAAUUUCCAUGUAAAUCAUCGAAACAUGAUUUUGAAUCUCCAAUUUCACGAAGAUCAAGAACAUUCCUUUAGAAUUUUGAAUAGAUGUGUGCUUCUACAAUUAGUUACCUAGGAUACUUGAUCUUAUAAGAACCUAUUCAAUUAAAAAUAUAAUAAGAGUAUUUUCACUUAUUACAAAGACACAGAUACUUGAUCAAAUUAAACUAACACCUAUGGAUAAAGAUUCUUACUUUCUCUUGUUCGACCCUUUAGGAUUUUUGGUGUUGAGAGUUUUGAGUUUCUUGUAAGAUCCAACCAAAUCCUCCUCCAUCUUAUGGAAAUUAGUUGAGAAGGAAAAAUCUCUAAUAGUUAUAGCAACAACCACAUGUUGGCUUGGAAUAAAAAUGAAUAAAAAAAUAUUCAUUUUUUAUGCAUUUUUAAUAUGUUUCCUUCCACAUGUUUAGUGAACUCUUGAUCUCAUAACAAUGUUAAAUAAAAAAUAAUAAUGAAAAAAUACUUUAAUUUCAAUGAAAAAAUACAAUCACCAUUUCAUAUAUGAAGUGUCCUUUCAACAAAACUCUCUCUUUUCCCAAAACUUGUGUAUUUGAAAUCAAAGAAAAAAUAUCCAUUAGAGAAUACGAAAAAUUAUAGAAAUAGAAACACACAUAAACACAAAGCUUGAAGAGAAAAUCAAAACUAUCAAAAAAUGAAAUGGAAGAAGAAAUGAAAAGGAUAACAUAAGCAACAUAUAUAUAAGCUUAGAAAAAAAUGAGGAGCUUUAUAGUAAUAAACUUGUGUGUGUAAGAGGAUUGAUUAAGAAUAUGAAUAAUUUUAAAAUGUAACCCCUCAAUAUUAAUAAAAUGGAUUAUAAUGCAUUCAUUGUGUAACUUGCAUGAAGUGAAGUAAAUAGAGUGUUUUUGCAACCGAUGGAAAAUGAAAGAUAGAUAGAUAGUAAGGAACGGCUAGUAAAGAAUCAAGAACAAAAGAUAGCCACAUGGCAUAAGUAUGAGAGAUUAGUUAAAAAGGGGGGCAUCGGUAAGGUGACACAUAGGAAAAAUGUAGCUUAGAAUAUAUAUAUAUAUAUAUAUAUAUAUAUAUAUAUAUAUAUAUAUAUAUAUAUAUUAUUCUAACAUAACUAAAUUCUCCAUCCAUUCAGUCAUUUAUUUAAUAAUGAUUACAAUGAUCAAUCACUUAUUUAGAGUAUAAGGAUUCUAACAACUUAGUCAAUGACUCGUCAAAAUGGAUCUCUCUACAUCCUUCUAAAAAACCAUGACUGAUAUCCUAGACCUAAUAACUAUACUAUUGAACUCAUCUUAAUCAUUCAUUACAAUGAGUGUCAUAUUUUCUAAUUAAAGAAAGGAAAAUUAAUAAAAGGAAUGAAUAUUAUGAUUAAUAGAUUAUUGAUUUUUUUUCCUUAAGCCAUUUUAUUUCAAUCAUAUUUUUGCUAUCUUUUAUGGCUUAAUAGCAGUUUUGGCCCCCUAUGUUUUAAGAAGUUGCGAUUUUGGUCCCCUAACUAAAUAAACUACAAAACUGCCUCCUAAGUAUUGACUUAUAGGCGGUUUUGUAGGUCAAAACUGCAAAAAAAAUCAAUACUUAGAGGCGGUUUUGUAGUUUAUUUAAUUAGGAGGUCAAAAUCGCAACUUCUUAAAACAUAGGGGACAAAACUGCUAGUAAGCCUUCUUUUAUUGUGAAUUAGAGUUAAACCUUAUAUAUGGCCUUAACUAUAUAUGAUAAUUGAUUGAUUAGACUCGUUACUUAUCUUCUUUUAUCAUUUGUCCUACUUGUUGAGGUUUUAGAAAUCAGAAUCCUUCUCCCCGUUUCCCAUUUGAUCCUGUAAAGGCCGGUGCUUAACUUUUCUGUGAAUUCUUCAUUCCUUUAACAGGAUUAGCCUAGGGCAUGAAAAAGGAGCUUGUGAGUCCAUGAUAUAUAUUAUUCACAUCUAAGUUUCUUUUUUUUGUGUUGAAGUUUAAACUUCAGAUCUUAAAUAUAUUAUGCAUUAUUUCUACCAACUGACUUAAGCAUUUGCAUCCAAGUUUAUCAAGACCUAAAGCUCUUCAGAAACAGAUCAACAAUUUUUAUUUACCUCAAAUAUCCCUUUGUAGAUAUACUGUUGGUUGGGCUAUAAUGGUAAUUUAGAAAUGGCAGGAAUGAAAAAGCAAAUAAUUACAAUGAAUAAUUUUGUGAAUGUGAAGUUUUUUCAUGAGAUAUUUAUGAGUGAUUGUAGUUUCAUGUGAAAGAUGCAAUCGUGUAUGUACUUCUCACACGUUUCAUGUCUCAUGGAGGUCCCCAGCAUAAAUGAUCAGUUUGUCAAAAGUUAUGUUGAAAAAAAAUUGAUUAAGGGAUAAAGAUGAAGUAUCAACGAACAUAAGACAAAUUGAUGAAGAAAAAUAUGAAAAUCCCCUAAUUAUUUGUUUAACAUUUCUUUUUAAUCUGCUUUGAUUAUGCUAAUUGAGUUUUUGUAAUCUCAUGUAAACUACAAAAUCAAAGUCAUAUUAUGAACUCCAACACACAAAACCAACGCACAUACUCAACUCUAUUGGGUGGUUAAUAGUAAUUUCUAACUAAAUUUACUCUAUUGCCACAAUUAUGAAUACCAAUCUUGGAACUAAUUGAUAUUCAUUUAAAUAGUCGACAUAUCUCAAUAUACUCUUUGACCUAACAAAGUAUGAAUCAGAAAUAUGUAUUUUAUUCAAAAUUUAGAACAAAAACAGUUGACUAUUUAGAUUUCGGUUGUUUAUAAUUUACUACGGUGGAAGUAUUUUUUUUUCAAACACACCGGCCACGAAUUAUCCUCUAAUCAAAUAGUUCAGGUAUUCAAACAUCGAUUAGUUGUAUCAAACUAAUGUGGUCGAUCGAUUCAAAUUUUAUCAUCAUAAAAUAAGUUUUUAAAAAGAAUUAAAUAAAGAUAAAUUAUAUUUUUAAAUAUAAAACUUAUUAUUAUUUUUAAUUGUUACUUUUGAUUAAUAUUUUUGUUUAUAUUUGAGUGGGGAGGAAGGGAAGGAGUAUGUGAUAAUAACCACCACAAUAUUAUAUUUCCCUUUUUUCUCUUCCACCAAUGAUGUGUACCACAAUCUUUUCAUUUUCUUUACCUAAACCCUAAAAAGGCAAUGGAUUGUCUUGGAAGGAACACUAAAAUGAAUCAACUUUUCUUUGCCUUUUUAAAGCAUAUGCAUGCUGACAUCUGAAAUUUCGCCUAAUCUUUGCUUAUUAAUAUUUUAUUUUACUAAAUAAUGAAAAGUUAGGAAGGCAAUAAGGCAGGUUUUGUCAAAUAUUAUUCCUCUAUCCUUGUCUUCCAGCCAAUGUUGUCUAAUCUGCUUCUUGUUCUAUGUAUUAAUUUAAUAGUAUAAUAUAAGAAUGGAUUCCCUUGGAGGUAGAAUAAUUGGUUGGCAAAUUAAUAUAUUUAUUCAAGAGAGGCAUGGCUUUUUUAAGUGCUCAUCUUUUAGUAGAUAUGCAGGCUUUUUAGAGCACCAUGCUUACCUGUUCCCUGAUCACAAUAUGUUUUCUUAUAAUCAACUUUUUUUCUUUUAACUUUUCCUGAUGAAUGCAUGGGCCCCUAAUCGAAUUGAUUGUACUUGAGCACCAUCACGUUUGCAAUUAGAUUGGUAGCACCUUUUUCUAAUCUAAUCAACUGCUCCUCCAUCCAUAAUUGACCGUAUAUAUUAUACACACAAUAAAUUUGAUUUGAGAUAUAUAUAUAUAUAUAUAUAUAUAUAUAUAUAUAUAUAUAUAUAUAUAUAUAUAUAUAUAAAAUAUAUUUUAGAUGCUUAUCAUUUGCAAUGCAUGAAACCAUAAUAUUUAAAUCAACACUUCAACAAAUCUUCAGGAGAAGAUCAUGCAAUCAACAACCGAUAGGCUAGCAUGUGAACAGGGAUACCAUCGUAAAUCAGCAUCAUGUGAAUAGGUGAUUUGUUAUGAAAUUAAUCUUCGAAUCGCAGAAAAGAAAUCUCUUUUUCUCUUUCAAAUGAACGACUUUUGAAAUUCAACUUGGGUUAUUCUAUAAGAGAAGUGAUAUCAACUCUUCCGACACUAAAUUAGUUGAUUUUUAUUUUAUUUUAUUAACCAUUUCUUUAUUGAUUCCUUAUUUAUGAAUGAAUAAUAGAUUGGUGCUACUUUGUAAAAGAUAAAUAGAUUGCUUCUUUUUGACAUUACUAAAGAAGCAUAUCCAAAUGAAAUGUAAUAUAACCGCAACGUAUAAUUUAUUAUGAAAAGGUGUAAAGAUCAUGUCUGCACCUAAUUGAAAAUAAAAACACGUGUAGUCGUAAAAGAGAAAAUAUCUAUCCAGCAUACCUGAUAAAUUUUGACAUUAAUGUCAGAUUUGAUGUAGCUGGAAAUAAGAUUUGGACAAACCUCUUCUUACAGUGACAACUAGGGUAUCCAUGGAAGAAUGGUGGGUAAUUUACUUCAAUCAAUAUACAUUAGUCACAUAAGCACAUUUUUAAGUGGUAUCCAUGAACUAUCUUGACCGCACCAACAAAUUGCUCAUUUUCAUUGAUUGUUGGGUAAAUUACCCACCAUUCUUCAAAAGUAAUCUAGAAAAAAUCUAUGCAAAAACAUUUCUUAGUGAGAUCUUAAUUAAACAUAAUAAUAAGCUUAGUUAGAGUGAGAGGUUUCUGGAUUGAUAUCUUGUAAAAAUAAAAAAAUAAUAAAAAAGCUUUAAGAGAAAGGUUCUACAAUUAUUGACAUGUUGGUGUUGAACAAAAUUAUCUUAUACUAAGAGGUAUAUUUUCGUAUAUAUUUCUUCCAAAAAAAACAAUACAUUUUCUGUGUGGAUAUUGUUCUGAUUAGGAGUUUGUAUAUUAUUGUAUCAAAGAAUGAAAAUCUAUGUUUAUAAAUAAAAUUACAAAUGCACUUUUUUUAAUAUAAUUCAUUAGUACCAUUAUGUACACUGAAUGAAGGGAACUUAAUCAUAUUCUUUAGGUAUAGAAAUCUGAGCUUAAUUCUAGAAUGUGUAUGGAUAUAAAAAAACAGAACUGUAGGAAGAGAUAAUCUAAGGAAAAAAGAAAUUAUUUAAUCAUUCAAAUAAAAAAUUAAUUGAAAAUUUGGACAAGACAUGCCCAUAACCACAUUGGGACAGCGAUGAUCUAACCUUGUUAAAUAAUAUUCGACGUCAGUCCAUGGGACCGGAACAAGCUGGCAAUUCUGAUCUCGUUAUGCCAAAAAUAUCUUUUGGUUUUAAUUUUGGAAGAGACAAAAUUAUUUCUAGAAAAUAUACUUAUGUAGUAAUUGAUCAUUUGAUUGUGGCAGGUUGUUUGAGUAUUUUGAAGUAGAAUUAAUUGCAUUAUUUUUAUCAACCAAGAAAAUUUGCAUGUUUUUUUUGGGUUGAAAUUUUUGUUGCAUGUUAGAUUGUUGGUACAUGUUUUCUUCUUCAUGGUAAGACGUUAUGUUUUUUUGACGAAACAUAAGUGUGUGUAUACUUGGCCCAUGUCAUGUGCGUGUUUAUGUGAAUCCAUUUGGUUGGCAGUUAUUUUUUCCGUCCUUUGUGUACAUUGUUUAUGUCAUGUGCGUAUUUACGUGAACCCAUUAGGUUGGCAGUUCUUUUUUCAUCCUAUGAGUUUCUCAUAUACAUUGUUUGAAUUCUACAAUUCUAAAUGUUUAAUGUAUUUUGAAGGGUUUUACGUUUUUUUUUUUUUUUGCCGUUCGGAUUCUAUAAUAUAGGGCGCACGAGAAAUUAAAUAAGUGGAAAAAGAAAGUGUCAAUUAGGUUCUCUUUCUUGUGACCAAUUUUUAUAGCCCAAAAGUUUUUAGAAAUAUAAAUGUGGGCUUCCUAGUUUGCUCAUAGACCCCCAAAACACUGAAAACAUAACAUUAUGAAAUUACAAAAACUCAAUUUCAUAGAACAUAACGAUAGAUCGGUCCUUUUUAACCGUCAAAGAUCUAAAUAGGGACUGUACAUCACCGUCAUCCUUAUGAACCGACUAAUAAUCAUGCAUGCUAUCAUUGUCGUUGGGGAUAUUUUUGUUAAUUGGAGAUAUUUAUAAGCAAGUGCCUAAAUAACAACUUUGAAAUUAAUAUGCCUGAUGUAAUGUUUCUAAAAAAAUAUCUUAUGUAGAGCUAAGCCCAAUUAAAUUGUUAGGAAGCUGAAAUAAAAAAAUAAAAGGCUAUUAAUUUUCCCACCCUAUCCAUUAUUCGCGCACCUUUUUUUUUUUUACGAUCAAUUUCUAUGUUGUUUCGGACGUGCUCAGAUUAUAUAAUUCAAAAUAUGUUUAUAUAUAAGCAGAAAUAAGAAUCAUUCCCAUUUUAGCAGUUUUUAACUUUGCUUUCAAACAUGUCAAAUAAAAUCAAAAAAAUAAAUGCCACCAAAAAAUUCUAACAAUCAAACAAAAUAAUGCAAUUCUUUUCGGAUUUUUUUCUGAGAAUAUGAAGAAAAAAAAAAGUUUAAACGAUAGAAUUUUGGAUUUUGAGGGACGGAGUCCCGUAAGAAGUCUCUUGUUCUCUGAUUUUUCUUCUUCUGAUUUUCUGUCCAAGUUUCGGAGCAAUAUGAUCAAAUAGCUCGAAAACCGUAUUUUCAACUAGCUUAAAAUGACUAUCCAUGUUGCAAAUAGGUUCAUAAUUUAUAUUGAUACAGUUCGGAUUAUAUAAUCCGAAAUAUGUUCCCUUAAAUAAGGGUGUUUAGGCGUUGUUCGGAUACUAUAAUCCGAAAAAAGCAAGGAACACGUCCUAUUUUUUGGGGUGUUCAGAUUAUAAAAUUCGAAUUGAUGAAAAACUCCUUUUUUCACCCCAAAAUAUAAGGAAAACUCAAUUUAAAUUAUAGAGUCCAAAAAUUGUAUGAGCAUUUUUGUAUAUAUAUAUAAAAAAAAAAAAAGCGCGGGGAAACUGAUAGGGUGGGAAAAGUAAUCCCCAAGAUAAAAUAAAAAAGGAUAUAUGCCUGGUCCAGAAACAAAUACAAGCUUAGCCCAUCAUUACCAAACACACGUCUGCCCAUCAUGAACAAUGUUAGAAAAUUGCUCGUUUCACUUCUAAAUUUGCUCUUUAACACAAUAUUAGAAGAACAAUUAACCGUCGUCGAGGGUAUUUUGAUAUUUUAAGGUUUUAAAUAGUAAAUUUUGAAGUUCGAAUAGCAAUUUUCAAAAUAUUAAGAUCUCAUUUGACGCCUUUUAUGACGGGUUAUCCAAAUUUGAUGAGAAUUUGGUAUCCAAAAAAUUGUUACAAUAAUUUGAUGAGAAUUCAAAGAAAAAAAUAAUUAAAAUCACAUUUUAUAUUUGUUAUUUAUCAUAAAAAAAGGACUUAUCACAGUAUAUCUCACGGAAACAUUUUACGUUUGUUAUUUAUAAUAAAAAAAACAAAUAAAAUCACAUUUUAUGUUUGUUUUUAUUUUAUUUUUGAUAGAAACAUUAUCAUCAUUGUUGUGGGACAUUGAAAGGGAAGUGGGUUUAUGGUGGUUAUUUUUUACGUUAAUGACAAUAUUUACAAUUUAAAUAUACGAUGAUUUUAAAAAAUAAUUGUUUUUUUAAUUAGGGAUCCAUUUUUUAUAUUAGAACAUGACUUCCGAUUCGAUUGGUACAGCCAGGGACGGAUCCAGAAUUUUCAAUAAGCAGGGUCAAUGCAUAUACAUAAAAUUACAGGAGAAAAUAUGAAAGUAAUACUACUAUUUUAUUUAGAAAGUCAUAUAUUUUAUGUAAAAUGCACGAGUUUCUAAACAAACAUAUUAUUUUGAACAUAUUAACAUGUGCAAUUGCACUUGAUAGAAAAACUUUUUAACAAACAUAAUAUAAAAUUAGUUUAGAAUAUGACUAGGGUUUUCCUCUAGUGUACUCCCUCCCGUCAUGUUUAUAAGAAAAAAAUUAUUUUUUAGGUUCAUUGAAUAGAUAUCAAAUACAUUAGGUAUUUAAUGAAUCUAAAAUAUAGUGUUUUGCUUAUAAAUGUGAUUAAAAAAAAGUAUUAGUUUUGUUAUAUGAGGUCAACGUACAAUUUAAAGUGGGAUCAAGAUAAAAAAAAUCAUACUAUUAUUAGUUGAAAUAAAAUAAAAUAAAGUGGGGUCAAUUGACCCCAAUGCACACAAGGUGCAUCCAUGCCUGGGUACAGCUCUACUGUUAAUGGUGUUGUGGAAACUUCGUAUCAAUAAUAUGAUAAUAAAAAAUUGCGUCAUCUAAGACAUGGAAGAAAAACGUGUGCUGUAUAUUUAUUUUUCUUUUACAUUUUUCGAUUAGCUCACUCAGAUGUAAAGUGAGACAAGUAAAUUUUAGAGUGGUCCUUUUAUUGUUGUCAUGAAACCUUAUCUUCGACAAAUGUUACUUUCACAGCCUAAUAUAGUUUCCAAUUCAAUUAAUGCUUUAAAAAUGAAAUGAAUAUUAGCCCCCCGUCUUAAAAACGUACAAUGAAUCAAAUAAAUGUCAUUUUAUCUUCUUAUACUGUAUUUAGGAUUGGAGGGAGUAUUAGGCUAAGAUUUUGAUUGAAAUGGACAAUUUCAAACAUGUGUAUGUAUAUAUAACAUAACUAGAUGGACAAAGCUUUAAUGGCUCAAACCACCAUUGUAAAUAAAUAAAUGUAAUUGAUUCUUGAUGCUAUGUAGUAGCAUUCUUGUGACUUAAGCAAACUGAAAUUCUAGUUAUUUUUUGAACUAGAGGACCACUUUGAGUCAGCAUUUCAUUACUUUUUGCCUUGGAUUUAAUCCUUUCUAGUAUCUUAAUUUAUCACAAAAAGUGGUUGAGUAAACAUUAGUUACCACUUGAUUUAAUUCCGUAUCUAGAAUUAGAAAACUUGCGGUACUAUAUUAGGAAACUUGCAUGGAUAGAAACAUGUAAGAAAACGUGGAUAAAAGUUGUUCACUGAUCCAAUUCCAAUUAACGUGUAAUUAUCAGAUUCGUCUUAAAUGAAUGAGUUGGAUUGGUAAUCACUCUUUGUCAUGCAUUGUAUCUUCUUAUUUAUUAAGCUUUAACUUUGGUUAUAGACUUCUGGGUCUAAAAGGCAAUAACUUUUUCACAUUAUGUACAUAGCCAGAAAAAAAAAAUAGUACUAAUUGCAAAAAAUAAUUGUUUGAUAACCAUUUUCACACUUCAGUGCAUCUUUGUAUGCUUCCUCCACUUGGUAGUUGCAGUGCAAGAAAUUUGAUUCUCCCUUAGAAAUAUUAUUAAUUUCAUAUUUGAGUUUUGUGAAUCAACUUGACUCAAUUUGAUAAUGAUAGCCUAUAGAUUGUUGUAUUAUUAGACAAAUUAAAACUGCUUCCCUGAUUUACAUAUGUCAAUGUAUGAACCAAUCCUAUACUGGGCACGUUGGCAACAUAGAAUUUUGUCAUAUGUUGCAUUGAUAUAUGGACUGUACCUUUACAAUUGAUUGAUUGAUUGUGUUUGAAAUUAAGUGAUAUAAUCACGAUUUUCUCAUGUUUGAUUGUGUUUGAAAUUAAGCCUAAACAUACCUUGCACUACUCAGAAGCUUUUACAAUGUGCGAUACAAAUACAAUUUGCUAAGAAAAUUAGGGAUUGACAAUUUUGACAUUAUUUUCACGAUAUCAAUAACCACCUAUACAUAUGGACAAUUUGAGUCCGUUCAACAUUAUCAAAACAAUUUUCUUAAGGCAUGUGGGAAUUACACACACUUUAAACAUGAGUGUGGAUAUUGAAGUUGUAUUUGAGUCAUGUUGUUAAAGUUUCUGAAAUAUGCAACCUAUAUAUUAUUUGAACACCCACACCUUAUUAGUUAGCAUUUCAUAGUGAUAUUCAAAUUAAUUUAACAUGUUAUCAUGUUGAGAUUUUGUGGACAUGUGAAAAUUGGACUCCGAUUCACAUUAGACGUUAUAGUGAAUAUUAGAAAUUGUAUUUGAGUCUAAAUAAGUUUAGUCACUCUCAUUAACUUUUGUCGGUCAGUUCCAAAAUUAUUUAACAAUUUUUUUAAUUUUUUUCUUAUUAUCUUAGUUGAUUUUUUUUAUGACAAGAACCAAAUUAACUCAUUUCAUUCAUAAUAUCAAGCUGAAUACAAGAUGACAUAUGCUCAUGAUAUUGGAAACUAACAAAUAACAAUGAUGCUCUUGCUAACAAACAAGCCACAUUAUUUACUUGUCACCUCUUUUAAAUUGCACGCUUCCGCUUCAUUUGGUUGUGGAAUUCAUUGAAACCAAUUUGUUUUUGCUGCUAUGUACUCGUUUUCUCCCCUCAAACACAUUCCUACUAUGUAGCACCUUUAAGAUGUAUUAACUACUAUUACUUUAUCAAUAAUAUCUUUAAUUGCUUAUUACAAAUAUAAAUUGCGUCAAAAAAAUUAUUACAAAUUUAAAAAUAUUUACAUCAUGAUAAUAAACAGACAAAAUUACCGCACACAAGGACGGACCUGAACAAGACACAGUGUGGCAAGUGCCACACCAGUUCAGGUCCAAUUCUUUUUUAUUUUUUUCAAUAUUUUUUUAUCGGCUCAUUGUAUAUUUUUACUUGUAUAUUAAUAUAAACACCUAUUUUUUUAUGUUUAUACAUGCAUCUAUAUUUUUACUCAUAUAUUAAUAUGGGGACAUAUUUUUUCUCUUAAUUUACACGUGUCUAUAUUUUUACUCAUAUAAAAGAACCUAUUUUUUUGUAAUUUAUAUAUGUGUUUAUAUUUUAACUUAUAUAUUAAUACGGGCACCCAUUUUUUUUUAAUUUAUACACAUGCCUAUAUUUUAAUUCAUAUAUCAAUACAUAGGUUUAUAUAUAUAUAUAUAUAUAUAUAUAUAUAUAUAUAUAUAUAUAUAUAUAUAUAUAAUUUCUAUGCAAUUGCAACUUGUUUUCAAAAAAAGAGCGCAACACGCUUAUCGGUCUGCAUGCACGGGUAUCCUGCUAGAGCAUUUGACAUCUCUUGUAACCUAUAUAUAAAGAGAUGUUCUUAAAACAAUUAGUAAUGAUAUAAUUUUAGUUCAUUUUCAACAAAUAGAAAAUAGAUUAUUUUCUUUGUAAUUUUGGUUGUUGCAACUAUUUUCAAUAUAACUUCUUAUUAAACUCAAUAUUAUAUAAUUAUUUGACAAAAAUUUUGCCUCACUAGUAUUUUGAAAGUCCAGAUCCGUCCCGGACUGCACACAAAAAAAAAGUUUCUAGUUGCAUUGGCUUGUGGCAUUGAUAUGUGUUUCUUUCAAGGUCCUAUAUUUGAUUUUCUUUACACUAUGUUUGGUAGAAGAGAAAUAAGCAAGAGAGAAAUAAGGGAGAGAGAAGUUGGAGAGAGAUAGGCUAUUUCUCAUGUUUGGUAUAGAAGAGAAGUGAGCAGAGAGAUACAGACGACGUGGGACCCACGCCUUUUUCACUUCUCUCCAGUGCGAAGAAAGAGAGUGAAGGCACACACUUUUUCUUAUUUUUCACUAUUCUCCCUGGUUAUAUACAACUAUAUUAUUUAUCAUUUUGUUUUCAAAUUUUUGUUGUUGCUUUCCUCAAUUUUUUUUUUGUUGUUGCUGUAGCCGGUCGAAAAAAAAGCAAGUUGAGAAUAAAACCAAAAAGAAACUAAUAUGGUUCUCCCUCUUUGAUCUAAUUAAUUUAAUCCAAAUGAAACUAUUGGAAUUCACUAAUUAGUUAAGUAAUGAAUUAGGAGAAUUUAAUCGAGAUGACUAUGUAAACACAAGAAUUAAUUUAAUUGGACAAAAUUUAAAUAUUCUAAAUUAUUAAUUGAGUAAAUAAUUUAUUCAAUAUUUAUGUAAAAAAAUGUAGUUUAAUUAAUUCUUGAAUUAAUUAAACUAAAAUAAAAAAACAACAUUUAUGUUAGGUUAGUAAAUAAUUUAUUCAAUUUUUAUGUAAAAAAUGUAGUUUAAUCAAUUCUUAAUUAAACUAAAAUAAAAAAACUACAUUUAUGUUUAUAUGAAAUUAAAUUCAAAUAUAAUAUUGUAUAUUAACUUUUCUAGUAUAAGGAUAUUUUAGUCUUUUCAAAAAUUAAACACACUUCUUUCUCUUCUAUUUCUAUUCUUUCUCUCUUAUACCAAACAAUAGCUCAAAUUUACUCUAUUACUCAUCAACUUCUCUCUUCUCUUACUCUUUCUCACCUCUUUCUCUCUUCACGCUUUCUUCUCACAAUCAAACACACACUUAAUGUCAAUUUAUAGUGGUUAGUCCAUACAAAGUUUUGCUAUAGUUUAAGUAGACUCCUACAAGUAGACGAAAGAUUGGACUCGUAGGACUAGUCAAUCCUUAAGCUAAAUACCGAGUUUUUUUUUUUAAAAAAAAAAAAAAAAACUUAAACUGGUCGAUAAGAAUGAGUUUUAUCUUUUCCAUAUCACUCUCUUGUACUAUUUGUAAGAUAUUUUCGCUCUAGGACUAUCUAACUAUCUUAAUUCUUAACUCCAUUUUCUAGGAAGAAAUGUUGUCACACACGUUUCAAUAAACUUGACCUCAUUUUUGUAUCAAUUAUCAAGUAAUAUUGGUAUAUCCAAUGAAGGGGCAAAUUAUAGAAUACACCACAAUUAUAUAUAGGUGGUUCAUGACAUGAUAUAUAUUCAUUAUCCAAUAACAAUUCAUUAAGAUAUUUGCAGAACAGUCGAUUAUUUGAUUUCAACAGUUUAAGGAAGCUUGUUGUCAUUGUCCAUCAAUGUACACUCAGCUUCCCAUAAAGAAACAAGCAUGCUUCACAAGGAUAAGACCAGUCCAAGUAAUCCACUGCCAUGUGUCAAAAAAAUGGAAGCUGCUUAAGAUAUGUUCCAACCUUUUUCAUGAUAUACAUUGGUACAAAAUUGAAUUCCAUCUAAACCUUUUUCUUCAUGCAUAAAAAUCCUAGUUUACUUGGACAAAUGCUAUUGGACCCUUUAAACUGAUUACUGAGCUUCUAAGUCGUUCAACAAAAAUAUGCUUUAGGUAGGAUCAACCACUCCAAUACAUUAAAAAAAAUUGUGAGAAGGUAGUUGGGAAGCAGCAUUGGAAGUUUCUACCGACACAACGUGUAAUCAAUAGAACAUGACCUGAAUAUCCAGCUAAUGAUUUCUGGUUCUAGUUGAAACUUGUUCUUAAAACACUCAAAUCCGUGUGAGAAUGUUGAUGAUUAACUGUUCAACAACACAAAAAUCCGUGACUUAUAAGUUAUUAACUUUUCUAACUUGUUUGCAUUGGAACAUAAAUUUGCCAGCUACCAACUUUUUCUGAACUUCAACGUGCUCUGAACCACAUCAUAUGAUGCUUGUUUGUGUCUUUCAUUCAUUUAUUUACAACCCAAAAUGCACGUUUUUCUCUCUCUAUAAUUUAAAGUAGUUCUAAGCUUCAAGUAAGAACAUUUACUAUACUCGAAAAAAACCAAACAUAUCAAAAUCAAUUUUAACUCUCAAUAUGUGGAACCAAACAUACACUACAUCAUAGCACAGCCAUCAAGAAUUAAAUGUUUUAUUUCUAAAAAAAUCAGUUUUCACCCUUAUCAAGAGAGCUUCUCCAAGCAGUCAACAAAAAUAAAUUUUAAAUUUAUUAUUCUUAAAUUAAAAAUGAUACCAAGGGUCAAGACAUCAUCCACCCACCCAAUUUGAUUAAGAUCAUUAUCAAUAAACUUUGUUUGUUAACUAAAAACUCAAACUCAUGAAGUAUUGCUGUUAGGUAAUUCAUUUCACAAAAGCAUAAACCUGUAUUCACUCCUUGUCAUACAAAACAAAACAAGAAAUUUUGCUGCUAGUUACAUGAAUAAGCAAGCUAACUAGCUAAUUUGUAAAAUUCUAAAAGUAUUGAUUGACUUUUUUUCCUUCCCAAAUGAAACAACCUAUGAAGAAGGCAUCUAUCAUUCUGUACAACAACAUUAGUUUUACUGUAUAGAUAUUUCUUUCUAUUUUGUGCUUAAAUUUUGCGCUGAUGCAGCAGCAAGUCCUUCCAGCAGUCUGAUAACGUGACCAGUAUCAUCCAAAUAGUAUUUAGCCCUACUUGGUUUAUAACCAAUAGUGCAUGCAAACACUUGUGAUGAGGUUGGUAAGGCUAAAUUUGCAAUGCUUUCAAACAUAUCUUCAUCUGAACGAUCAUCUCCUAGACAUAGAAGAAAAUCUGGUGACUUCUCCUCAUUCCUCAUGGUUGAUAUAAGCUCUUCCACCACUUUACCUUUGCUCACACCCUGCAUUCCCACAUAAAUACAUGAAACCAUUACAAAAGAAAAAAUUUAAUAAUCUGACUAUUACAAUGUAUAUGAAUUAAAUCCUUAAAAGAACUCAGAGAAAGGAAUCAUCAUUACAAAAUUCACUUUCAUAAACAACCUUCAUUCCAAUUCUAAUUAACUAAUGAAAUCUUAAAACGAAUUAUCUUUCAUUUGGUCUCUUGAAAACUAAGAAAUGACAAAAGAUUAAUAUGCAUAAAAGAGGAUGGUUUGUUUAUGAUACCUGAGGCUUUACUUCAACAAUAUGUUGUCCCCUUUUAACUACUACAGGAUCAUUGGCCAGCAUACUCUCAAGGUGAACAAGAAGCUCUUUAGCUUGCCACAGUCCAAAAUCAGGAUCUGCUUCUUGAUGUUGCCAAACCAUUGCACUUUCUUUUUCUUCAAUGAAGGAACCAUCAGUCGCUUCUGUGUAAAGCGCCAUCACCUUUUCUACAUUAAUUUUCCAAUCAAAAUCUGAUGCCAAUCCGAGAGUCGUCCAAGGAGAAUCCUUACUCCACCUGCCAUCAGUCAAAAAGGAAUCCAUAAAAUGAAUCAACAAGUAAAAAACACAUCGAGAUCAUGCAACAUUGAUGAAUGAAUGAUGAAUUUCAAUUUCAAGAACACUACAUUGAAAAGUUUAAUUGAAUAAUGUUACCUUGUGAAGUAACCAUGUUCUGCAGAGAGACCCAAUUUGUCACAUGGAGAAAACCAGUCGCUAAGGCAAACUCUUCCCCUGCCACUAACAAUGAACACUGUAUUUUUGGGAUCACUGCAUAAGGAAUUCAAGAGAGAGAUAACAUCCAAACUAGGAGCUUUGUUAAUUGAUCCCUGAGGCAUCAUGGUGCCAUCAUAGUCCAAAAGGAUCAACCUACUUUUGGUAUCUUUGUAAGCAGGGGCAAUGUCAUCAAGACAAAGCUUCUUAAAACUAGGAUCCAAAGCAAUGAUUCUAAAAUUAUCAAGUCCUAAUCCCACAUAUGUCUUGAGAUAAUGCUCCCUACAAGCUCUCUCUAAAUCCUGAUCAAAACUCUUGGCCCAAUACGCUACAUCAUGAGAGCUUAUGUACUUAUAAUUCUUCUUGUGCCGCAAUUGCUUCUCGGAAUCCUUCAUUUUGAUUGCUGAGUUCAUUUUCUCUGAAACAUCAUCAAUGUUCCACGGAUUCACCCGAACUGCCCCGCUGAGUGAAGGCGAACAACCAAUGAACUCAGAAACAAUGAUAACACUAUUUUUAGGCUCAUCAUUUCCCACUCCAAGUGUUUUGUCCAAUUCAACACUUCCUUGUCUACAAACAGUAUACUCGUAAGGAAUCAAAUUCAUCCCAUCCCUCACAGCAUUCACAAUACAACACUCUGAUAUAGCAUAGUAAGCAGCCUUCUCCUGAGUCGAAACCGGACCAUUUAUACAAACAAUUGGCCUAUACCCAGAUUGUUCAUCACCAUAUUUGUCAUUAACUUCUUUGGCAAUAGCUUCAAUCUCAAACUUCACAUCCUGUAUAUCUUUUCCGCUACUCCUUGCUUGAUUCAGAAUCUGAACCAACACAACUUCACCCCUUAAUUUUUCAUUUCCCUCCAAAAGAUUCCUCAAUGCCAGAAACUUCAACCCAAUACCUUUGAACAAAUCCAAGUCAUCAACCCCCAAAAUCAAAACCUUCCCUUCAAAUUCUUCCUUCAACUCUUUCACCCUCUUAGCUGUUUCAGAGGACGACAAAACCAAUUCGAGAAGACCCAUGUGGAUCCCCACAGGAAGAAUCUUGAUGGUAACAUUUCUUCCAAAGUAAUCAACACCAAUGUAACCUCUUUUAGACUCAUAAUCCAAACCCAACAUCCUACUACAACAAGACAGAAAAUGUCUAGCAUAAUCAAAAGUAUGAAAUCCAAUCAAAUCACAGUUCAACAAACCCCUAAGAAUUUCUUCACGAACAGGUAUUGUUCUAUAGAUUUCUGAAGUAGGAAACGUGUUGUGAAGAAAAAAACCCAAUUUGACUUUAGGAAAACGUUUCCUCAAGUAAGUUGGUAAAACCAUUAGAUGAUAAUCAUGAACCCAGACAUAAUCUUCAUCAGGAUUCAAAACCUCGCGAACCUUGUCCGCGAAGAUUCUAUUGGCCUUUUUGUAUGAAAGCCAAUGAGAGGAAUUGAAACGCACACCUUGACUCUUGGACAGAGGUAGCAUGUAGUGAAACAAAGGCCAAAGAUAAUGCUUACAAAAACCAUGGUAAAAAUAGUUGUGAGUUUCAGAAGGUAGAAAAGUUGGAACACAGCGAAACUUUUCUAACAAGACUUUGGCAACUUCUUCUUGCUGUGAUGGUUCAAUUUCAAUAUGUGAUUUUAACGAACCAACGUAAAAGAGUUCAGAAUCAGAGGAAAUACCGUCUUUGAGCUGAAAAUAUAUGCUAUCAACGUCCCAUUCGAAUUUCAAGUCACAAGAAGAAGAUGAAACAACGCGUAUUGGUAACUGAUUUGAUACUAUUAUCAUUCUUCGUUUACGAGAAAUCGGAGAUGAAGGAACUGAAACGUUGGAAUAUUGUCGUUGAAACUUCUGGAACGGUGUCAUGAGUUCUGGAACUAUGUUUAGGUCUUCUUGUUCGUAAUUGUUCAUUGUUGUUAUUUGAUGGUUUAAUAAACCUAAACAAGAUCUUGAAAGCAUUGUUUGAAAAAUGAAAAAGGUGGGAGUGUUUGUGUUUGUGUUUAUGUUUAUGUGAAAAAAGAUUAUAGAUGAGUGUUGCAAAGGAAGAUGAAGCGUUGUUGAUUAAUGGAAAUUGAAGAAAUUACUGAUUCAAAUUCCAUAUGAUAGAUAAUAUAAGAAGAAGAUUAUGAGAGGAGCGUGUGUGAUUUUGAGAAAAGAAAAAAAAUACUGUAUAUACAAGACUCUGCUUACUUUUUUAUGUGACUAUACCACUAUGGAUAAGAACGAAAUUGAACCGGUUUUCUAUAUUAUGUUAAUUAAUUUUAUCUGACGGUUUAGAUUUCUUCUUAUCUCAUCACUACAUUAGAUACUAUGCGCUUAUUCUUUGCUUCUGGAUUUUAAAAUGUUACCGGCUAUAACCGGUGAGGUGAAAAUGGAUAAGGAUAUAGACCAAAGUAUAAAAUUUGCAUUCAAUGCUAAUUCUUUGGAUCACGUGGCCUUUACGGCAACAUCAUAAAAAUAGAACAAUCCAUCAAUUUAUUUUUAAAUUGCAGUAUUCCUAACAAAUAGUACAUCUAAUUUUAUUACUAUAUUUAUUCUCAGUUAUAUUUUACGAUUAUUUGGUUUGCUACACUUUGGAUCAUUUGAAAUGAUAGGAAUAACCAUAGAUUUUAAAAUAUGGUUUUCAAUCCUAUUAACCUCUUAGACAAAGUAAAGUUUAAUUCUUUCUUAUGGUUAAGGUCGAAAUAGAUGGAUUUUACCUAUUUUUACCAUGAUUGGUGGAAACACCUCAUUCCUCGUAUGUGUGUUCUCUUGUAAUUUUUAUUCUAGAUGGUGCUUUUGUUUUGGCACCAUAAUCUUGUAAAUAUUUUCUGGUGUUUUCCUUUUACACAUCUUAUGCAGAGUGAAACAUUGUUGGUUUAGUAAUAUAUCUCAUUUUAAUUUGUUAAAAAAAAAUAUUUAAUUUCUCAAACAUAGCACUUGAUACUAAUUUUUUAGAUCAGACUCACUAAUAAUAUCAAUAAUUUUAUAUCAUUAUAUUUUAAUUUUUAUUAUUAAAAAUGUGUGGAGCUCACAAAUAAGAAACGUUUAUUAGAGACUCUCAACUUAUUAAGCAUCCAAAAAAGAAAAUCCACAAUGAUAGUACCUAAUAGGUAUCAAUACCACAAUGGUGAUAUAAUUGAGGAUGGUUUUAGGAUAAUUGUUAACAAUUUUUUUUUUUUUAAUGUUUUAAACUUAAAUGUGGUUUUUGUGGUUUGGUUUUCUUAAGACCUGAUUUUGGGUUUCCUAUUUCUAAUUGUGCAUUAUUUGUUAUCCAAUUUAAAAAAAUUGACAAAUUCAUGAUUCCAACCAUUCAAUUUGAGUAUUUCAUAAUAUAUUAGGUGAGCUGACAUAAAAGUGAAUGGUCUAAUCAUCAAGAGUCUUCAAAAUCAAGAUGUUAAAAUUAAGUCAUGAUCAAAUAUAAAGAGACAUAGGAAGAUCAUUAAAAUGAUACAAAAAUAGUAAAAGAAUUUAAAGCUAAACAUCCUUAGACUGAAACCGAUAACCUCUUUAUUCAAGAUUUGUCAGACGGAAUAACUAAAAUUUAAAUUAGAAUUAGUCAAAAAAAAAAAAUAGAAAUAAUCAUGUUAACUUAUCUCAUAAAGAACGCAUAAGAGUGUUUAGAUGAAAUGAUAUAAUAUUUUAGGAAUUAAUCUUCACAUUUACGCACGUUAAUUUUUUUAUUUUAUUUAUUAUUAUACAGCUUAGUGGCUAACACACACACAUUUUAAGUGUAGAAAAUUGUGCGUUUGAGGUUCGAACCUUAAUCUCUAUAUAAUAUUAUCAUUGCAGCUACCAACUGACUUGCACAUGCAUAAUUGUUUUCACAUAUUUCAUAUUAUAAGAUGCUUUUUUUUUUAAGAAAUAUAUAUAUACAUGUUUUUUAUAGCCAAAAUAAUAUUACUCCCUCCAUCCCAUAAUAACUGAGUCAUUUGCAAAAAAAUAUUGUCUCAGAAAAUUGACCCAUUUCACUUUUCAAUACAAUAUUAAUUAUUUUUUUCUAAUUAUAACACUAAUUAAUACUCCAUCCGUCCCAAAUUAUAAGAAAAAAAAACUCAUCUUCUUUGUCCCAAAUUAUAAGUAAAAAAGACCAACUUUUAUCAAAUUUAAUUAUAUUGUUUCAAAAAAUCAUCUUUUUCAAAGAAAAAAUAAAUGCAAAGUGCAUUCAAUUUGCUUUCUCUUUCAUUUUUUCAAUAACCAAUUAAAAUUGUUUUUACGUCUUCCUAUAAAAAUUAUUUCAAGGAUAACACAAGAAACUAUGUUGCAAACUACUAUGUUUUUGUUUUCUUAAUAAGUGUGAUUUAUUUUUUGUUUAUAAUAUGAGACAAAGAGAGUACUACUUUCAUCACUCUCAAUUCAAUAUAUUCUACUUUGCAUUUAUGAUAAAUAAUAAUGCACCAAUAGUUGAUAAGGGCACUCAAAAUCAUUUUUUUCUCUCUUACACUUAUACACUUUUUCUUAAUAAACGUGAAAUGAACCAAAAGCUCAAUUAAAAUGAGACCGAGGGAAUUCAUUUUAACUCAAUUGGUUUUAAAUUUUAAUGCAAGUAUUGUGUCUAUCUAUAUAUUUAUUUUGGAAUGCAUACAAUACCUUCUUUUUCAUACGGUUGAAAAGAUCAAAAGUGGAUGGAUAUAUUAUACGAGUAGGGUGUGUUUGGUUUAAUGGAAAGAUUAAAAGAGGAAAAGAAAGAUUGUGGAAAGAUCUUCUUUCCAUUGUUUGGUACCCCCAACAAAUAAGUAAGGAAAGAAAGUUUUGGAUGGAACCCACACAAAAAAUCUUUCUUCACUAGAUUGAACCGAAACAAGAGAGGAGACCAUGUUUUUGCUUAAAAAAGACAAAAAAUAACCCUAUUCAAUAAUAUAAUAUUAACAAUAUGUAAUGGAUGCUAUUUUAUGAAAUAAACAAUAUAUAAUGUCCACAAAAAAUUAUAUUAUACAAACAUGCCAAAAAAAUAUAAGAGAAGAGAAAGAUGAAUAUUUGUAUGUGUAAUUUUGUCACAACACUAUAUAUUAUUGCAUAUAUUAAUAUUUUAUUAAUAUACAAGGGUAUUUAUGUCAAUUAAUAAAUACAUAUCUUUCUUUUCUCUUACUUUUUAUUCUACUUUCUCUUUUACCAAACAACCAUAACAAUUAUUUAACUUUCUACUCUCUUUCAUUCCUUACAUAAUCUUUCCUUUCACUUUUAUUCACCAACCAAACAAAGCCGUAAUUGAUUGAAAAAAUCGAAGUGUUUUAAGAAUAAAAAGAGGAACACACGCCAACAAGACGAGAUCCCUCUCCGCGUUCACACGGAUGGCACAAAUUUCCUUGGAUGACGUUUAAUUCCCCUAGUCCCUAGCUACGGUUCUGGGUUAUCUACAACAGCUAGGAAGAUUUGAUUGUGGAUGGAUGUGUAAUGUGUUUUUAGACGAGAAUGAAUCCUUUCAAUUUUUAUAGAUUAAUGUUAACUUGUGUCUUUGGAACACAUGUUAAGUAAUCAAAAAGAGUAAUUUUGUAUCGGAAAAUAUAAUAUAUUAAUUUUUAGGAUUAAUUAAGUUUUUAGUUCUUAUAAAUAUUCACAGUUUUGUUUUUAGUCCCUAUAAAAUAAAAUCACACUUUUUAGUCCCUGUGACAUUUUCCUUAAGCAUUUUAGGGACCAAAAAUGUUGACGGAAAUUUUUUACAAGGACUAAAAAUGUUGAUGGAAAAUUUUUAUAAGGACUACAAAUGGUGAUGGAAAAUUUUAUAGGGACUAAAAAGUAUGAUUUUAUUUUGUAAGGACUAAAAACAAAACUGUGAAUAUUUAUAAGGACUAAAAACUUAAUUAACCCUAAUUUUUGAAAAGUUGAAUGCACGACUUUUGAUACAUGCAUUUCUUUAAUAAGUUUCUAAACAUGUGCCCUAUAAAAUAUAAUCAAAACCUAUAAAAUUUAAAAUUACAUAGUGUAUGCAUUGAAAAACAUUUCAACUUAUUUAUAGAACUAUUUUUUAUUAGAAAUUGUUUAGGCGAUUCGUACUCAGAAAGGAUUUGAAGUGAUCGGACAUAAUGAUGGCAUUUGUCAAACAACAACCAUCGAGAAGCAAUUUGACGGGUGUAUAGAGUAACUUAUUACACUCAAGUUAUUAAGAGAGCAGAGUGAAAAUGGUUAUAGAGAUAGCCAUUGAAACGGUGUUACGAAAGAUGUUAUUGUUACCAUAAAUUCCUUUUAGGUUUGUUUUGUUCAAAAUUUGAAGUCCAAAGUCCUAUUUUGGACCGACUUUGUAUAUUGUAUAAUUUUAUUGAUGUUGAAAAAAAACUUAAAAGAUUAAAAUAAACAGAAGACCAAAUUUAUUUUAAAGAAAGAAGACCAAAUUAAAUAUUAGGCAGUAAGAUAUAUAUUGAGUAAUAGAUAAAGAUAAAAAAUUUCUAAAGAAAAAGAAGAUAAAGAUCAACAUAUAUUUUAUUCUUUAAAUUUUAAUCAAAUGGAAUAUAUGUUGGAAAUGUAUGUAGGGAUCGAAGUUCGAACUUCAUCCAUUCCAUUUAUUUACAUUUAAAAUAUUAAACUACUUAACCAAAUAAAAAAGAAAUACUCUAGUUGGUUAAAAGCUAAAUUCUUAGCAAUUUUUUCUUUUAUUUGAGUAAUAGUGGGAUUAUGAAUACGAAAGAGUAAGACAUGGUGUGAAAGAAGGGGUAGAUGAAUUGUUAGAAGUAGCCACAUGGAUCUAUUGUUAAGGAACGUGGCGUGUGGAUGUCGUCUUAUCCCCAAAGACUGCUUUGACUGCCAGCUUGGCAUCCACUCUUCUUCAUGUACUAAUCUGAUCAAAUCACUUUAUGCCACAUCUCAUCCAAUUUCUACUAUGCUCUUCUUUGUUUACACGCAGCUUUCAUCUAAAAAUGAAGUAUAAUAACACAAAUUAUUAUGCUCCAAAUCAAUAGCUUUUUCUUUGUCUAUUAGUAUAAUUGUAGUAAUAAGAAUAACUGUGAUAAACAUAAAUCUGAAAUGAAAGGUUUCUUUUAUUAUCAUUUUUAGUGCCUAAUAAUAGAUAAAAUUAAAUAAAUGGCUAAAGAAGUGUAUAAAUGAACAAACGUAUAAAAUACGGUGGACGUCGGCAUUUAGAUGUGAAAAAACGUUUGUGAAUUUAGAAGAUUUGCAACGUUCUGGCAGAAAUAGGUCUCACAGAGGGGUGGGGUCAACUGAAAGAUGGGGCCCACUUUAUCCACAAACAUAUUGCUAUAAAAGGUAGUUAUUCACGUGGCUGGCAUAUAAUGUUCUAUUCUAUCUAAUUUAAGGUAUAUGAUGUUCUAUUUUAUCUACUAUUUUUUCUUCUCUACCUUACUUUACUUUUUUUUUUUUUUUUGUUGCAGAUAAAAUCUCAUUAGAAUCAUUUUUCUUUUUCAUGUUUCAAAUUCAAUGAUAUUAAUUUUAUUUAGAUAGUAAUUUCUUGCUUCAUUCAUUAGUUAAAUUUUACUAUUGAAUUAAUCAAUAUCUCACGAUUGGACUAAAUCAUAUAUGAUUAUAAUUAUUGAUUUAUAGUAGUAGUGAAAAACUCAUUUGUAUAUGAUACAAAACCAUUUUCCUUAAAAAAAAAAAAAAACAUAUAAAAUCAUUUUUUUGUUAACCUUCCAAUUUUUAGAGGAAAUGGAUCAUGAUAAUCCGAAAUUCGGUUGGGAGGUAAGUAAAAUAUGAUCAUGAAUUAUUUUACUUAGGAAUUGAACUCAGAUUCUUUUAAACAAUUUAUCCUUGGUGGGAUUCAUUAACUACUUAAACCAUAUUACUUGGUUAAUUAUUUUGAAAUUGCUUUUCUCCCUUUCAAAAUUUUUCAUUCGACAAUGAGUAAUUUCUUUCAAAGGCACCUUUCUUGAUUCAAAAAUGAAAAUGUGUUUGCUUUAAAAGUAUGAACAUCAAUUCUUAGAGAAGUGUAUCAACAAACAAAUUAUCUAAAAAUAGAAGGACUCGAAUAAAGCUAUAUUUCAUAAUUUUGUGUGUGUUUGCAUCAUACAUUUUACAAUUAAAGGCAACAUCAUUUUCCAAAGUAGCAUCAUUGAUGGAAGAACUCUUGCUCCAACUCACAUUUUGGUUGAAAGUGAUCCACGAUGUAGAAUCACUCUUCAUCAUGUAUUAGCACAAUAAAUAAUGAGUUUGUUCCUUGAAUAUAUAGAGGACGAAGAACAAGAAAUAUACUACUUGUAUAUUAGUUUAAAUAUUUAUUUGAAGACCACUGAGAACAAACUAAAUUUCAUGGCUUUCUUAUAAACAAAAAUAAGUCUCUGUUCAAAUAACAAAUAACAUCAAAUAAGUCAUGCAUUAUGCACCACUGAGAUCUUAAUCAUUUUCUUUUCUAUUGUGACAUGAUUUUAUUCUCGGUGGUUACUCUUUACCCUUUGAUCGACCAUUUUCUAUUGUUGACUGCUACCUCAACUCAUACAAUAUUUUUGUUCUUUUAAGUUAUGCAAAGUCGUUUACCCAAUACACGUACCGAGAUAAUUCAAAUAAGUCACGAGAUUAAAUUUUAUAUAUUGUCCUUGUAAAUAAUUAUAUUGUCGACAGCUCACAAUCAUUCAUAUGUGUAAUUUUAGAAUAAUUAGGUUAAAAUCAAGAGAUAUUCAUUAAUUUUGUGUACAAUUAUUUUACACGUACAUCCAAUGAUAUAUUUUCAUGUUAACUCAUAUGUUUUUUUUUUUUUAAAUAAACUUAUGUUUUCAUACUCAUUAAUUAACGUAAUAAAUGCAUGUAUAAAAUAACUACUAUACGCAACACUAAUUAAAUUCUUAAACCAAUAGUCAAGAUGAACAAAUACAUGUGAUGAUAAAAUAAUCACUCAUAUAGCUAACCAAAUGCUAUUUGUCAAUGUUUACUAUGUACUAUAGUAUUAGUUUUUUUCUCAAUUUCUAUACAGCCCACCAAACAAAAUGUUUUCAAACAUGAUAGCCUGCCAAAUAUGGCGAAAUAAAAAUUCGAAUUUGAGUUGGCCAGCCAAUCACGCUCUCUUUCCAACUUAAGCUGAAAAGUUCACGAUCCCAUCCUACUACUACCAAAUUCCAGGUUUAAUUAAUUAAUUAUUGCAGGCAUAAAUAAUUGAAACAAACUUUUGAAGAUUAAGAAGGUUGGAAUAUUCAAAAGUAUAAAGCAUUUCCCCCAUUUUUUUCUUGAUAAUAUUAAUUAACCUAACCUAUCUUUCUCUCUUUCCUCACGAUUUUAUACCAAAGAAUAUUAUUCCUAACUAAUCUAGGGCUUUUUGGACAUAAUAUAGAUCAGUCAUCUUUGUCUUUUUGGUCUUCUUGUUCCCUUUGGACCGGCUUGUUUUCUAGCAUUUUGUCUUUUGAGCAGAAAAAUAUACAGCAUGCGUUAUUGGAAUUUGGUAGAUAAGGCAGCUGACAAAGACUUUAUAGUAUGUCCAAAUUUUUGUUUAUAACCUUAUCCUUGAUGAGAAGCAAUAUAUUUCAAAAGCACAACACACAUAUUGACAACAUUCAUCAUUUGUAGUUAUCACUAAGUUGACAAAUAAUUAAAAUAAGCAGCCUCAAGUGUGCAACAUGAUCUUCAUUAUUGUAUUAUACUCCUAUUUCAAAUUGGUUGCAUCAAUAAAUAACUAAUUAAUUUUCUCAUCCUUCUUUGUACUGCACAAAUUAAAAAAUGACCAUAACCUCUAUCUCAAAUAUUUUUAAAAGUGGAUUCCAGUUGUGAAGAAAAGCAUCAAUGAUCUUUUUGGAUAUGUGUCCAAUUAACAGCUAGGUUGCUUUCCUCCCUCGUUAUGAAUUUUCUAGAGUUGUAAACAUUAUCCUCUUCUUCAAACCCAACUACCUGGUCUGGAAUAUAUUACUGCCUUCAUAAAUAAAUACAUUUCUUUUUCUUCCUUAUUUUCAUUCUUAUUUAAUAUAUAAUUUUGAAAAAUGUCAAUUGAAUCUUUUAUCUUGAUUUUAGAUAUUAAUGUAGUCAUGAUUUAUAAGAUGAAAUAAAUUAUUUUACGUAGAAUAUUUUAUCAUUUUUUCAGACGAAGUGACAAACACAAUUCGAAACUCAUACAUAACCAUGAGGUUCUGGGUUUCAACCCGAAUAAAUGAUAUCAACUAAACAAUAUUAACAUUAUCAGUUGAGUUAAAACUUAUAAACACAAAUUUAUAAUUUGAGUAUCGUAAAUAAUUCAUGGUGACAACUAGGGUACCAUGGAAGAAUGGUGGGUAAUUUACCUCAACCAAUACACAUUAGCCACAUAAGCACAUUUUUAAGUGGUAUCCAUGAACUAUCUUGACCCCACCAACAAAUUGCUCAUUUUCAUUGGUUGGUGGGUAAAUUACCCACCAUUCUUCAAAGGUAAUCUAGAAAAAACCAUAAUUCAUCCCUCAACUUGACAAGCCAAUUUAAUACUAUAGUACCUUUCUACCUUGGAUAAGAAUUUGAAUCACAGAAGGUGUAAUAUCAGACGACUUUAAGCAUUGCCGACUAACCCUACAAAUCAACACGAGUCUUUUCAACGUAUUUUGUCAUCACUCGCACGUUUACCGGUAAACUUUUUGGUAGGUCACACAUCCAAAAACUACUUCAAGUCUAACAUGCUUAACUAUGGAGUUCUUAUGGUAGUACCAAACAAUUCUUAUAAGUCUUCCUUCAACCAUAUAGUCUCAUACCUACACUGCUUCAUGAUCCCUCUCAUUCCGAUGUGAUUCGGUUCGUCUAUAAGCUGUCGGGAGCCGCUCAUUGUCGAGCCUUGUACACUGGCAAUCACUUCCCUGUCCUCGUCAAUCGUGGGUGUUACAUGAUAGAUUGGAAACUUAGGUUAGUUGGUUACAUUUUUUCAGUUACGAUAUUUAACAAAAUGCGACAUGAAGAGGGGCAAAAAAUCCAAAAGAAAAAGACAAAAUACGUCAUCCCCGUGUGAAAAUGUUAGAACUCUAUAGGACUUAAACGCAAGGGAAGCAUAUAUUCGAGAUUGGUUCAGACAAGAGGAAUUCUAUAAGUUUCUUCUUCUAUUUAUUUCCACAUCUUUUCAUGCCAAUUUCCAUGUCACUUUGCUAGUUAUUGACCGAUGCGUUGCUUUUCAUGGAUGCCGACAUUAUUUAAAUUUAUUUUAAAAGUUUGGACCAAAUCAUAUUACUCCCUCCGUUACUUUCUAAUCGCGACUUUUCCAGAAUUUUUUUCUCUAAUUAAUUAUCACUUUUAAAGUUCAAUACAACAUUAAAUAUUGUUUUGCCUUUAUUACUUUUGAUUAUUUAUUGUAGAGCGAAAAAUAUAUGCAAUGAGUUAUUAAAAGAUAAAUUGUUGUAUCAAAAAUUGUAAAAUAUAUUUGUUGUCUUGAUUUGUGGAAAAAACUCAAAAGUGAUAAUUAAAAAGGAAUUCAGAGAGUAAUACUUUACAUUUUAUAUCUGCUAGCAAUUUUUCUUAAAAUAAUCUAACAUUGAUUUAUAAAAAAAAUUAUUUAUAUCUUUAACAGAUUUUGACAGUAUUACCUCAACUAUAUUUAUUUAUCUUUUUUUACUCAAAUUAUAUUUAUCUAUCUAAAUGAAAAAAUUUACUUAAAACAAUAUAUCUAUUUCUCUUUAUUAAUUUCGAAAGUUGGGGGUUAUUUAUUUAGUAAUUUUUUUAGAAGAUUUAAUUAUUAUCCAUGCGUGAAAUUGUAAGAAUAAUUUAAGAAUCAAACUGUCGAUAACAACGAGAAAUACAUAUAUACAAAUUGUUUUCUAGAAGAUUUUUUUAUUCUUAAAUUAUUUUUUAACAUAAUUCAAAAUAUUAUUUAACAAAAAAAUUUAAGGAUAAUUAAGUUUUUAGUCCCUAUAAAUAUUCAAAGUUUUGUUUUUAGUCCCUACAGAAUAAAAUCACACUUUUUAGUCCCUCUGACAUGUUCCUUAAGCAUUUUAGGGAUAAAAAAUGUUGAUGGAAAUUUUUGACAGGGACUAAAAAUGUUAAUGGGAAAAUUUUAUAGGGACUAAAAAUGCUGAUGAAAAAUUUUAUACGAAUUAAAAAAUGUAAUUUUAUUUUAUAGGGACUAAAAAUAAAAUUCUGAAUAUUUACAGGGGCCAUUUCCUUAAUUAACCCAAAAUUCAAUUGAUAUUUAAGUAAUUUAAGAAUCAAACUCUUUUUGAGUCAUUUUAGCUUGCACUUGAAUUAUUUGGUCCGAUCAUAACAACGAGUUAUAUAUUUGGUUGCAAGGAAAUAUCUUCAUCUCAAACCAUAUUUUUUUUUUUGGCCAAAUACCUCCCCAGGUCCUUUAAGUUUCAUGUUUGUUUCGGAUAAAUCUUUUAAGUUUCUAAGGUUUCAGAUAUGUCUUUUAAGUUUGAAGUUUGUUUUGAAUUGGUCCUUUAAGUUUCUAAGGUUUCAGAUAGGUCCUUUAAGUUUCGAGUUUGUUUUAGAUAGGUCCUUUCUAUCAAUCUCCGUUAAGUCAAAGUUGAUUUAAUAGAGGUGACCUAUUUGAAACAAAGUUGAAACUUAAAGGACCUAUCUGAAACCUUAGAAAUUUAAAGGACCUAUCCGAAACAAACUCGACACUUAAAGGACCUAUCUGAAACUUUAGAAACUUAAAGGAUCUAUCUGAAACAAACGUGAAACUUAAAUGACUCAGGAGGUAUUUGACCACUUUUUUUUGACGAAAAGUCAUCUCAAACCAUCGAUCUUGUGAAAAUUCAUGUUUGAUGGUGGAUUAAAACAAAGAUCAAAUGUUUUCUUAUGAUCUUAAUCUUUGGUAAAUAAUCAUCUUGGUUGUUUAGGUUUCAAAACUUUUUUAUGUUUAAUUUCUUUUGAUUGGUUGUACCUUUCUUUAAAAAAAAAUUGUAUUUUCUCUUUUCUAUUUUUUGCACACAUACCUUGUGCUAAAUAGUCUUUUAAUACAUUCCUUUGUCUUUUUAAAAAAAUUAAAAGAAUCAAAUUGGUUUAGAUAUGUUCUCUUUCAAGAACUAAUGUGGAUUUUUGGUUUGACCAAAUAUUGAUGAUUGUUUUCCUUGUAUUAUUUCGUUUAUUGCAGUUGAUUUAGCUCGUUAAUGAAGUUUGUUUUUGUAAAACAAUGUAGUCCUUAAUUGGUUUAUAAAUAAACGAAAGUUGAUUUUUCUUUCUAUAAUACUCCCUAAAUAAAUAUGAAAGUCGAACUAUAUGGAGAGUUGAGUACAUUUGUACUCCUAAUAAAAAUAAAGAUGCUCCUUUGUAACAAAAAAGAAUCAAAAUGUUCCAUAGAACAAUUCAUUUCCGUUAUUCCAUACUUGCCGGCACCACCUAAAUAAUGAUAAUGUUAGUUAGCAGGUUACAUCACCUCUCUAAAACAUUAAACAUCAUCUUUAAUUGUUUCCAAAAGGUUUAAAGAGAUUACUUCAUUUCAUGUCGGUUCUAUAGAAGCAUCUUUGAGAGCUUUGCAUUGCAUUUAUAGACAUAUAUUAGACAUAUGCAUGUGUUUAAGUUCAUGCAUUGUCUACUUGUUAGAAAUGGAAUUAUGCUAUAAUGUCUGAAAGAUCUAGUUAAACGGAUAAUGUCGAUAUUGUUAGGUUGAUCAUUUUUGCCGAGUAUAAAUCCAAGACUUUACGUUAUAUGUGAGUUUCAUGUCGUACUUAAUUGAAUUCGUCUAAAAAAAGUUGUUUCAAUAUAUACUUACAUAUGUUAAGUAUUUGUUUAUUUGUACGGUGGUUGGAGGUGGCUGUGGCCAGCUAUAUAGUGGUGGAUCCCUCUCUCCCCACCACACUUAAACGGUUCAUUCUGAACUAUCCACUUCACUUUCUUACUAUCCAACCCAAAGCAAAUGGGAUGGUACCUAAAAAACACUUAAUUAAUUGCUUGCUAGCUAAUAUCUUGUUCACUCAAAUGGAACCAAAUCACAGACACACGCAAACAGUUGACAUAAGGAUAAUUUACAAUUUCACCUAAGUUUGGUUGAUGUUUAUAUUCAUUCUAUUUUCUUUCGUUCCACGAUAAUUGAUCUAUUUAUAAACAAAAUGUCUGAAAAUAACAUUUCACUUUCAAUUUUCAACUCAUAUUUUUUUUUUAAUGUUUUAUCAAUUAUACCUUAAGUGAUUUUGUAGAUAUCAUAAUUCAAACUUUAUAUUUAUGAUAAUGACAAAUAUUUUGGAAUAGAUCAACACUCAAUCUUAUCACUAAUUACAUCCAACCAAAUGACAUUCGUGUAAGAGAUCAUUCAAGCCUACACCACCAAAAGAAUUAGAGGAAAACAACCUCAUGGCCAAAUCAAGACUCUUUGAUCAUAAUCACACGGUGAUUCAGGAUAAUCGUCACAUUUACAACAAUUAUCUAAAUAUUUUUGGGACUAUAUUCUAUCCAUGAUGCUUAUAUCACAAAAGAUCAUUAAAUGAAAGAUACGCAAUCUAUUUUUAAUUCAACAUCUUGCUUGUCUUAAACUUUAAUUGACUUGAACAUUGAAGUUCUUACAAACGCAAAACCUUUUUUUUUAUCAACUCACACCAACAAUUUCAGACGUCCUCUACAAAAAAAUUUAAGAUCAAUAAUACACUAAUUAUUGAUUCAAGUAAUGUGGUAGAUUUAUAUUUAUUUACUAUGCAUUUUUUAGGGUUCCACCAUAUAUCUACUAAAACAUUAAUAGUAAGAUGUGAGAUCACGUGACAGGGUGACUUGGAUUCAUAACAUUGGUCCAUACAUGCUGUCAAUUUCAACAAAUUAGAUUGAAUCCACAUAUGAAAAAUUUAUUAUAUGGUCGAAAGAGUAUGUGGAUCCCACUAAGAUUUAAUACGAGAUUGGAUAAAGAAAGAAGCAUUGGCCCACAAUUUGGGAAUUAUAAAAAGCAUGAUAAAAGGUUGAAAUUUGGAAGAAGAGCAAAUUGGUUGGAAACACAAUUAGCCACGUUUUAGGGAGGUAGGUCCUACACGUAGAAAGGAGUUGAAGAUAUUAAAAAGAACACGUUUUGCUUUGUUGCUGUGAGGAUUGAUGAACUAGGAACGGGUCUUUUUCUUGCAACUACUUUUCAUGUUUUGGUGUUUAUAAUCUCUAUCCUUAUCCUUGUUGGUUUUUAAUUCAUCAAUGCCUCUUUCCUAGGAUGCUGCUUCUUUUGUUGACCCACGCUUUUAACAACCAACUUUGUAAUUUCCUUUUAACUGUAAUGAAUCUAUCUACCUAGAGAAACUCUUUUGUUAAUUUAUUUCUAUUAGAAAAAAAAUUAAAAUCUAAACUCUAAUUUUCCUUUUAUAGAGUUAGAUAGUAUCUCUAAUAAAAGGUCAAUUUUGUAAAUAUGGAUUAGAUUGAGUGUGUUUGAUUUCAUGGCAAGAAAAGUCAAAAGUGAUCGUAAACAUGUACAGUUGAUUUUGACAUGUUUCAUAAAUAUUUUUAGAAAUUUUAAGAUGGAUUUUUAUUUCAAAUACACCGUUUAAGUCACUCUAAAAAAAAUCAUUUUUACCAAAUCAAUUCAUUUAAAAUCAGUUUUUAUAACCGCAAAACUAAACUAGCAUUAAGUAUAGAGUUUCAUUUCAUUUCAUUCACGUCUUGUUAGUUGUUACUACAGGAUUUAAAUUUUGGACAUUCUUUUUUAGGACUAUUUGGACGUUACUUAACUCACCAACUAAAUUACCAAUAUCUCUAAUUUAGUAACUACCUAUUUUGAAUAAGCUGAAUCAAAGCCAAAAUAAAUUUGCUCAGUUUGGGCUGAAUCCACUAUGGAUAAGUUUGGUUCUCACUUACCACCUUAGACUAUUAUAGAAGCAUUGUUCAUUGAUAGAUAAAUUAAUAUAAUGAGACACACCAGAACCUCAAAUAUCGUUGUUUUUGGGGAAACUUUCUAGAGCAAAACUUUCCAUGGCCUUGGGGACGCUUUUCCUCGUCAUUUUCGAGAAGUUUAAAUGUUUAAUAGAACUUAUAUAGUUCAUGGCUUAGAUUACGUUACAUCCUAAUCCAAGACGCAUUUUUUUAUAUUUAAUUUUUGACGGUAGACGCAUAAUUUUAUUUGAAAGAGACCAAACUUUGUUAAAAAUUAUAAAAUAAAAUAAAAUAAAAAAGUGGAUCUUACUGAACGAAAUCUUACAAGGAUUGGGAUAUAUACGAAGGGAUAAACUCUUGAAUACGCCGCGCUUUCUUCUUCUUUACCAGCAAUAUAUAAUAUUGUACAGUUUUUGACAAUUUCAUUUUGACUCAAAACAUAGUUUAUAUUUCUUGUUUCUUUUAGUGUUUUAAGGGGAUUAUCUUCUAAUAUUCCAUCAAAAAAAGAAGCAGACAAUCUUCUAGUUCUAGUAAAACAAGAAGAUAAUCUUAAAUCCGAUAGUAGCUAAACAUUGUCCGUCAUGUAUAAUGACUGUACUUGAUUCAGAUUAUGAAAUCCAAAAAAGUGUUUGAUGUUGAAGGAUGUUUUUAACGUGUUUUUACACUUUUUGAAUUAUAAUCUGAAAUUUGUAGGGCGCACAAGAAGCUAAUAGGGUGGAAAAAGAAGUUAUCUUUUGAAAUACAUCCAAAUUGAGUACCCAAAAAAAGCCCAUCUAGUUCCAAUGUCAAAGUUCUGGGCCAAAUACCCAAUGAAGAUCGUAGAUUUCAGUUAAUCCAAUCCAAUAAUCACAUGAAAAUUGCUUUUCUCACAUCCAAUGUUUCCUAGAAACACAUGGAAAUGACCAAAAAAAUCCAACGGUAGUUAACCACCGCUGACUUAUAACUAGAAAAUCAGCGGUGGUUAACUACCACUGAAUUUUUUGGUCAUUUCCAUGUGUUUCUAGGAAACAAUGGAUGUCUAAUCAUUUUUGUAAAUAAAAACUCAUUUUUUGUGUUAUCCAAAAGUACACUUCUAAACAAAUUAUGUUUUUUUUUAAAAGAACUUCCGAACAAAUUAUGUUGUUCUAUAUGUAAUUUUUCAGAAAUGUAGAGGUAAAGAAAGUUGCUCCCUAAAAUAAUGUAGUACGUAGAAAAUAAUCUUACAAAUGUGAAAUAUACACAUUAAUCUUUAAUCACUACUCCUUCAUCUAUUUUAAGUGUCAUUUCAGGCUAUGUACACACUUAAGAAAAUAAUUAGUUACUACUAUCAAUGUUGUAGUAAACAAUAUUUAUAUCUAAAGUACCAAUAUUAAUUAGAAUUAUUGAAAGUGGUAACAAUAAUUAGGCGGACUAGUCAUCACUGGAGAAAGAGCCCAGCAACUGCGGCAUUUUCAAGCAUGCAUUAACAAAUGUACUUUAUGCAGUAACAACAAUCUUAGAAAUUGAUUUGCAGACAUUCCUUGAACUCAUUCGAUAUCUUAAAGACCUGGGUGUUGGUGUAAAACCUAAUAGUUUGAAGAGACUCGUAACUCUUUUUAUGCAACAUGUUUUUCAUAUGAAGAUCUUACUAAUAGAGGAUGUGGUAAAUGGUUUUGUCAUGUUUCAAGGAAUUGAGGAAGGUACAAGACGCAAUAACUUUGAGGCUUCAAAUAAGCUCUCUUUUCUUAGCUCAAGCUGUGUUUGCUGAAGCAAUAUCUUCUCUAAAUUUGGAUGAAUUUAACAGUAAGCUGCCACCAAAAUAUAGUGGGAUGGAGACCCUGAUGCUGGUUCAAUCAUUUGCAGCUGGCUAGACAAGCUUCUAUCAAUGAGGAUCCAAUGAAUGAGAAUUAGUUAGUGACGUGUUGAUCAUCUGUGAUUCUAUUAGGGAAUGUAAUCAUAAAGGGGGAGUAGUGGUGAGUGUGUGGGGCAUUCGUUCUGGUUAGUUGGUUAUGAGAGUUUCUCUCUGGUAGGAGUCAUAGGUUCUGUUAGUCUGGUUUAUUUUCUUUUUCUGCUGUAAGAGCACAUCUUGCUCGAUUUCUAUUCAAUAAACAUACUGUUUCUUUAAUGUAUAAUUUGUGGGUUCUAUCAAGGUGUAUGUGUCAUUUUCAAUGGGCUUUUGUGCAAUAAUAAAGAGGGAAAUCCUAAUAUCUUGGUUACAGCCACAAUUUCUUGUGUAACUGAAAAGCUCGUUCUGGUAACAAUCGAGCUCCCAAUUGAUAUAAUGAAAACUGGAAAAAUCUGAGUUUUGUUUUAUUUUAAUUAGUUGAGACCAAAGAGUUUAACCAUGGUAUCCCUAAGACUAGCUGGCAACCAUCUAAUCAACUUACUCAGUCUUCACAGUAAGGGGAAAACACGGAUUAAGAAUUCAACAAAAAAUGGCAGCACCAGGGAAAAACAAUGAGUGGGUAAACAUUCAUACCAAGUAACAAUAAUAGGCUAGCAACAAAAUUCUGUUGUUAAAUCAUGUUACAUAUGUAGCAUUAACAUGUAACAAGGAAAAUUGAGUAGUGAGAAUUGUAUGAUUUGGUUUUUGAAGAAAGAAUCUGCGUUUCUUAGUAUGUAUCCAUGCACCUUUUGGGCUGUCUACUUCACAAAAAGUGAACAAUUGCUCCAACUUAGUCUUGCAGCUGAGAGAAUGAAGUAGAUGUUUGCAUAUCAAAACACUAAACAAGCGUUGUUCAACCAAAUGAAAGUAAUCAAUGCUUCAGAUAUUUCUCGCUAAAUAUGUUUAGUGUUUAGAGUGCGUGCAAUAAUGUCAACAUCUAUAUGUAUGAGUUUACCCAAGUUCAUGUAAUGUACAUGACCCAAAGAUAUGUAAGUGUAAAAAAUAGAUAUUUUCAAAGCUCACCUGAGUCACAAUACUUUAUCCAGUUUGACCUUCAAUAGCUAGGCCCACUGUGAGACCAAUCAUUGCCCAAGCUCCAUUAGUUGCCUCAAUUUGGUGUCUCUUCUACAGUCAAAACCUUAAGUUGGUUAGGUUUAUAGUAAACCGAGGAGCAUAGUUUCAUUAGUGUUAUACUACUCGGUUUCUAGUGUCUAAACUUCACCUCGAGUUUUUCUUUUUCUUUAAUUCUUUCCAUUUGUUUGGCAACCAAUCGCUUGGCUUCGAUAGGAUCAACCAUGAUCACAUCCUUCUUUGAACCAUCCUUUCCUGAAGAUACCUGUAUAAUAUUAAUAUAAAAGAUGUAGAUCUCAUUAAACAUAAAUAAAAAGAAAAUGGCAAAAAGAGAAGGGGAGAUUUAAUAUCAAAGGGGAAUUAAAGAAUACUUUACAAUUUACCCAAGAAAACUUGUAUUUAAUUUAUUAACAAAGUAUAAUAAUAUCCAAAAGAAGUAAGGCUUGGGCAAGAAAAAGUUGUAACUUAUAUAAAUACCAUUCCUUGCAUUAAAUAAAUAAAUAAAUACACUAUGGGUCCUUUAAGUUAUUUUGAUCACACAUAAGUCAUUUAAGUUCGAGAUUUGUAACAGAUUGGUCCUUUAAGUUAUUUUAGUCACACAUAAGUCCUUUAAGUUUGUAAAAGAUUUCAAUUUAGUCUUUAUGUUAACCAAAACGACGAUGUGGCAGAAGGACUAAAUUGAAAACUUUUACAAACUUAAAGGACUUAUGCAUGACCAAAAUAACUUAAAGGACCAAUUUGUUACAACCCUCAAACUUAAAAGGACUUAUGUGUGACUAAAAUAACUUAAACGACCAAUCUAUUACAAACUUGAAACUUAAAGGACUCAUGAUGUAAUUUAACCUAAUUAAUAUAUAGCAAGUUUGCUGGCUCAGAACAGACAAUGCAUUGAUUUCAAGAAUGAACAGUUGAGGCUAAAGUUUAAAAAUACUAUUUCAUCGGAAGAUAACACCCUUUAUUUUCAGCAACAAAGCUAGGUUUCAAUAAUUAGAAUGCAACUAAUAAUGAGAGGUAAUUUUAUUGAAUCACAUUGAGACAUUUAGAUAUUAUUAAGAAAGUCAGAUAUAUUGAGAAAAACCCAAGUCCAACAUCGGAUAGAUAAGACUUUUGAUAAUAGUUUAUAAAGAGGAGACACUCCUCACCUUAUGAACCGGUUUUGUAAGGAUGAGUUAGACCACAAAUUUCAACAAGAUAUUCUCACAUUACUGUGUUAUGAUUUCCCAAUCUUAUAAUUCCAGAUUUUUAUAACUCCAGAUUUCUAUAACUAUAACUCCAGAUUUCCCAAUCUUAUAAUUUGUUACUGUGUUAUGAUUUUCUACCUCUUUCAUAUCCUGUUAGGUUCCUCUUAAGGACAAUUUUUUCUUUCUAUGUAUCUUUUGCUAUCUAUAUCAAGUCAAAGCAAUAUGUAGUGAAAAGGAGGAAGAGUGAACUGAACUUACUUGGCGAUGGUUAGAAAAGAGUGAUUAGUAUGAAAGGAAGCGAAUUGAGCAUUGGUUAGGGGAAUAAUGGAUGAAGAAGAAGCCAUUGCUCACACCCUGUGAUCUUUGCUUUAUCCUUUCCCAAUUACUAUUUUUUAUUUUAUUUUGAAAUUAAAACAUAUUUGAUAUUUUAAAAAGGAAAGUGAAAGCUUACCCCUCAUUUGAGUCCCACAAAAUACUCAAUUUACACACAAAAUACGCAUAAGUGAAAAAAUUGGGGUUUAAAGCCGUGUCAUUGUAUUCGAUCUAACAAUUUUUAAAAUGUUUAUGAGAUAGAACUUCUGGAAUACAUAGAUAACUACCUCACGUUUAGUUCCAAAAAAAAAAAAAACUACAUCAUUUUAAUUUAAUCCAUAAAUUAUAUAAAUAAAAAUAAUCCUUAAAUUAUAUGAAAUUUGUAAAUUUAUUUUCUAAAAUAUAUAAAAUUUGUCAAUUUAGUAUCUAUCAAUCUAAUAUCAUUUUAAAAAGAGAUUAAAUUAACGAAUUUUAUAUGCUUCGAGGAUAUCCAAUAGUUUUUACGUAACCUAAAACAAAAGCAAUUUCUUAUUCCCCUUUAACAAAAACAAUUUCGUCCUCUCGUGAGCUUAACUCAGUUGUUGGACAAUGUAUAAAAAUAUGUAAGGUUCUGGGUUCAAACUCCGGCCACUACAAAAAAAAACAAAAACAAUUUCUUAUUCAAGAAGAUACAAAAACUAUUUAACACUUAAAAUCCUUCAAAAGUUACACUGGUUAAAGAGGGCAAAAUGCACGGGUGCGGUUAUGAUGCAUAAGGAAAUCUUUAUGCACUCUGCAUAAAUCUAGAAAUGGUUUUGGAGUACAACUCACGAAAACCAUUUUUAUAGCAAAAUGGUUUUGGCAUAAUUUUAUGCAGGGUGCUGGAAACCAUUAAGUAUAUCUAAUGGUUUUGGAGUACAACUCACAGAAACCAUUUCUGGAUUUAUGCAGGGUGCAUAAGGAUUUCCUUAUGCACCAUAACCGCGCCCAAAAUGCACUACGCUAGGGUAAUUUCUUGGUAACUAGUAAUUUCGCUCGAACGCAAUCACUUUUUCUUAUUUGAAUUUUAGAUUUCUGCUUGCGCUUGCUUUAUCCAUGGCAACAGACCUUUCUGCAAUUCGUAUUGUUGUCGCCGGCGACAAGGAACCGGCAAGUCUAGUCUAAUCACUACUUUUGCCACCGGAAAUCCUGUUAAGGAUGUGCCGCCGGUACUCUUAUCCACCCGACUGCCUAAACAUCUGUCUCCGGAUGGCGUACGAAUCACAAUCAUCGACACCUCUUCCCGGUAUCAAAACAUCUGUGUUUUAUUUUUACAUUUUUUUAUCAAAAUAUGUAUAGCUUGAGGAUCAAGAAACCUUUUAGGAUUUAUUUGUAUUGAUAUUUCACUUUAUUUUGUUGUUGUUGCUGUAGUCCUGAGGACUGUUUUAAAGUUGGUGAACAACUAAGACGAGCUGAUGCAAUUGUUCUCACAUAUACAUGUGAUCGGCAAGAGACACUUGAAAGACUGAGUUCAUUUUGGCUCCCGCGUCUUCGCGAUUUAGGGGUUCUGUUCUCUCCUCUUUUUUCCAUCUACACUUUGUUACUAUUGUACACUGCAUUUGCAUUGAGAAAAUGUUUGCAUGAUAUAGUUAUAUACUUAUAUGGACUUAAUGAACAGGUAAACGUUCCGGUUAUAGUCGCUGCCUGCAAGCUUGACUUACAACAUGAUAAUCAAGAGGAGAGCUUAGAAGACGUUGAAAUCACUAUUCGUUGUUCAGCAUAUACAACUAUGGGGGUAUAUAUAUAUCCUUCAUAUUAUUACAAUCAACAACUUCAUUGUUUUCAAAUAUUAUUAUUAAAAAAGUAUUUCACUUUACUUUUCUUAUUGAAGGUCGCUGAUGUUUUCACCUUUGCACAAUAUUCUGUCAAUUGUCCUUUGGGUCCGUUAUAUUGUCGAAAUUCCAAGACUCUCAAACCUCGAUUUGUCCGGGCUUUAAAGCGGAUUUUUAUUCACUGUGACCUUGACAGAGAUGGCGCACUUGGUGAUACUGAACUGAAUGAUUUCCAGGUUUUACUUUUUCCUUCUCAUUUAAACAUCAAAAUUGUGGCUCAUUUAUUAUCUGAAUGUUAUAUAGCUUAAUUAUAAGAUUAUUUCACUGUAGGUUAACUUGAAACAUCUAACAAAACUAUUUACAGGUUAAAUAUGUCAAAGAUCCGGUGCCAGAAACUAGAAUUGCGAAUCUAAUGAGAUUUUUGCGAGACAGAUUCCCGGAAGGUAUGAAUGAACGUGGACUUACUUUCACAGGAUUUCAAUCUCUCCAUGCUGAUUUCAUGAAAAUUUUGUUUCGUGAGAUACCAUGGACUAUGCUUAAAAGGUUUGGAUAUAAUGAUGAUAUCAAACUUGCUGAUCAUCUAAUUCCGGAUUUGAAACGUGCUCCUGAUCAGGUGUUUCUUUUGAUAUGAAAUGUGGCCUUGUGUAUAUUUUGUUCUUUAUUUCUUUAUUAGACCAGUUUGAGAUCAAUUUUUUUACAACAUGAAACUUUCAAUGUAUUCUAAUCAAGAUUUGAUUUAACGUCUACAGAGCAUCGAGUUGACAAAUGAAUCUCUUGAUUUCUUGAAGAAAAUAUUUGUUGCGUUUGAUAUUAAUUCUGUAUGUCAGCCGCUCACACGUUCUUUAAUAUUUUCACUUUUUAAUGCUUCUCAUUAGUGAUUUUCAGACAUUAUCUCAACCGGAUUUAUUGUAAUAUACAAAUUGAAAUUUAAUCACAUUUUUUCACUCCUUCAGGAUGGGUAUUUGCAACCUGAAGAACUUAAAGAAUUGUUUUCUACUGCCCCGGAAAGGUAGAUUGCUUUCUCACAUUUUUUGCUAUACUUAUUUUCACUUUAUUAUCAUCCAUUUCAUGCUUGAUUAAUUUGCAUUGGUUUCUUCUUUAAUUGAUAAUGGGGCAGUUUGAUCUGGAAUGGUUCCUAUGUCCUUUGUUGUGUAAUUUUUCAAACGUGCACAUUCUAUAAGGAUCUGGUUUAUACUUUGAACUAUGAAUUGUUUUUUAUAUGUAUGCCUUUCCCAAGUAGGGAUUUCAAUGUUGACUUUUGCCGAUGUUAUUUAAUAUUUUAUGACUGUUAAUUUCAGUCCUUGGAUCGGAGCUCCCUACGAGGAUGCUGCAGAUGAGAGCGCAUUUAGAGGACUAUCACUUGAUGCAUUUUUGUCAAAGGUGCUCGAGUUUUUUUCCUUAGUCUCUAUUCCCUCUUCCUCGCAUUUUGUUGAACAAUGUGUGUACGGUUGCUGGACUUCUCUUCAGAGUUUUAUCAAUCAAUUAAUUUGAUAAGUGGUUUAAAUUUGCCUCAGUUUUAUAUCAUGUUUUGACACAUGUCUAGUUUGUGUAUCUUUUAAGUGCGCUUAACAUUUUAUCUGCAAUAUUGCCACGAAUUAUCAUUGAUCUUUUAACACAUACUAUAUGGUUUCUGUACAGUGGGCCCUGAUGACACUUUUAGAGCCAACUUUUAGUGUAAAGAAUCUGAUUUAUAUUGGUUUCCCUGGCGAUCCAUCAACUGCUAUUCGUGUGAUUAGGAGCCGAAGUUUAGAUCGCAAAAUGCAACACUCGGAACGAAAUGUAUUCCAGUGCUUUGUUUUUGGGCCUAGGGGGGCUGGAAAAUCUGCACUGUUGAAAUCUUUUAUUCGAUGGUAUUUUCAUUAUGUUACGUCGAAGCUUUCUGCUACAUAGAUACUAUACUUUAAUUAUCAAGUAUCACAACUUAUUGUUGUUAAAUUCAUAAUGCAGGCCAUAUCUUGAAAUUUAUGAUCCAACUAACGAGGAUCGUUAUGUUGUAAAUGUUGUUGAUAAUUCUAUGGUAAAUGAUACAUGAUCGACAUAUGGCCCGUUUCUUCAUUUGAUAUAUUUAUUUUUCAUAUCUUGCAUUUCUUUCUUCAUGCUCGUGUUUUAUCAUUUUGUUUGCAGGGAAACAAGAAAUAUCUUGUGCUGAGAGAAAUUCCUGAAGAUGGAGUUAGAGAGCUGCUGGCGAAUAAUAAGUCUUUGGCCUCUUGUGACGUUGCAGUUUUCGUUCAUGACAGGUGAAAAAUGAUAUUUAAGUGUUCAUUACGCCAAUAUAACAUAGAAAUUAUGGAUUGCCUUUGUUACAUAGGUAUUUUGUAGAGUACUUGGGUCAUAUAUUUGGUCAUGUUAUAAAUGGUUUAAUUUACUGUUCUCCCAAAAGACCCAAAAUGAGAUAAGAAGCAUAAACCAAACUAUUUUCCUCAAGAGAAACCCAACAUCCAUCUUUUUUGUCUGUUUGUUGUUACUAUUCUAAUAUUUUCACCAUUAAAUUACUUGAUGGUGUUUAUAGGACUUGGCGAAAUUACAACUCUAUCAUUGAAUUCAAGUAUUGAUUAGUUUUGUGUAGUCUGUUUGGCUAUUUUAGCUGACAGACAACAUUUUAAAUUUUUAAUCUUCGUUCUAAUAUAUACAAGUCACUAUGAGUUUGCAUGGUAUUCAUUAAAAAACACAUCAAAUUUACUUCGCUUCCAACGCAUCUAUGAACUUCCAAGUUAUACAUAAUUUCAUGUUCUUUUGGUGUCUACUGUGGACAACUCAUAUUAAGUACAUGAGAAAAUGUUGGCUGUAUAUAUCUUACUAAAUAUUCCUCAUGGAGGUCAUCAUCUGAACUCCUUGUAGAAAUUGCUCGUCACGGAGAAGAUAAUGGCUUUGAGGUGCCUUGCCUUAUAGUUGCAGCUAAAGAUGAACAGGAUUCAUUUCCAAUGGCUACACAAGAGUUAACUAGGGUAUUUUUCAUGGACUUAUUCAUUUGGAUGAUAUAUGAUUGCAUUAUCAUAUUGCUGUAGAUAAUUGUUUGAUGGUUAAAUAAAUAGCUAUUUAAUGUGGUGAAUGUGACUCGUCUUGUUAUUAUGAUUUCAUUCAAAAACUUUAUGAAUACCAACAUUUAGCAUUUUAGUUUGUGUGAAUUACUUUAAUUAUAUUCAAGUUGAAAUUUGAUUAAGGUGAUUGAAUGCCAGCUUAAUUGUCAUUGUUUCAGUUUGUGUCCUUUUCUUGUACAUUUACCUUUUACUGGAUUUUUAUUUUGUCAUCUUUAAUUGUUUCUACUGAGAGAUUGGUUUAAGUCAUCAAUUCAAUUUCCCACACUAGUGAGUUAAAUGCCUGGCAGUACAAAUUGUUUACCCAUCAAUAUCUAGCUUCCAUAGCUAUGAUUGAUUUGUUAAGCUUUAUAAUUAUUCAGUUUCAACUUUCAACUCUUAUCACAACAUUUUCACUUUCAAGUGUAAUAACAGAUUGUCAGGAAAAUAAUAUUGUAUUCUGUUGUCUUCCUUUGUGGCGUUGUAGCAUAUAUAAUCAUAUUACAUAUGUGCUUGAUGCUUAGAAUUUUCUAGCAACUACAAUAAUGCUUCUGACAUGCCAAUGUAUAUCGUAGGUUAGUCGGGACUUGGGAGUAGAGGCUCCUAUACCAAUCAGUGUGAUGUUAGGAAGUCUCAACGGUCUAUUCCGCCGAAUUGUAACUGCUGCUGACACCCUCAUCUAAAAUCGGAAAAAGCCGUAGGCAGGACCAUCAUUUAAUCAUUCCUGAAACUUAGCCGUGCCCUCCUUUAAGCAUUCCUGUUACUGAAGCUGGAAAUAGCUGCAAGCUGUAUGACAGGCUCAUAAACGAUCCUCUUCUGUUUGUUUCAGGUAUAUUGGUUGUAAGGUUGAUUUGUUGGUUUUUCAUCAAGUUCCCUUUGACUUGUGCCAACUAGAAUAAGCAUGUUAACUUGUUUGAUUUUUGGUUGGUGUGACUUGUAUGUUGGUUCAUGUAUCAUGUAUCUUUUGGUUGCAUUAAUUGUUGAUAUUCCGAAGCGUUCUCUAUUGUAUCUUUUGUUUUAGGCUGUUUCUGUUAGACACUUAGACUUUACCAAGUCUUCUGUUUCCAUGCUUCACCUAUUUUUUGUUUCAUGCCCUUCUAAUUUGUGGAGUGACAAGGUGGAUAGACGGUUUGGGGGAGAAAAAUUAUUAAUUACUUUUUAUUUUCUUUCCAAUUUUUGAACACAUUACUGAUAACUGGUUAUUACUAACAUUUGCAAUGAAAGAGAAGUGUAAUUGAGUUUAGGACGACAAUUUUGUGAACAAUUUGACAUGCCAUUUUAUGCCUAUAUAAUUUUUGCUUCGAUGUUUAUUGCAGCUGCAGCGGUGGUCGUUGGAGUGACUCUAUUUUCUGCAAGGAACAAUGCGCAGGUUUUGUGAAUGAGUGGAGUGGGUAUAACAGUAAAACAUACCCUUAUACAUGUUGUUUGGGGGUUGAAAUAUGUUGCUGCUGCAUGAUGUCGAGAUGGUUCUUUAGUCUUUGGUGUAGUGAGGGUCAAGCAAUUCUUUGCCUUUUGGUUUUUUGUGCUGAUUAUAUCGUUUUUAGACAAAUUGACAUUCCUUGUGCCAUUGUCUUUUAUUAUUGAAACGUUUAGUUACUUUUCCAAAAAAUUCAGUAAUCACUGAUCACACUUAAGAACCACUCACAAUAUGGUUCUGUCAGGAUCUUUAUUUGGCAAUUCAAUGGAAUAUCGUCAUUCACAAUGACUUAAACGAUGACAUAUUCUCAAUCAUUGGUACAAAUUGAUGAAAAAACCAGAUCAGAAACUGAUGGUGUCCAAACUUAUGAAAUAACAAAUUAGUCUUUUAAAUUAAGGAACAACAAAAAUUUUGUUUCUCAAUCAAAAUAUUUAUUUGGUUAACAUAACGAAAGUGAGUGUUAGAGAGAGUGUUGGAAAGUGAGUGUUGCUAGCAUUCCUCUUAACCGGAAUAAUCUCUUGUAGAUAGAUAAGCAUAAAACCUUUAAAAUUGAUGAUCUAAAUUUAGAAGAAAAAAAUGACUAAAUUAACACUCAUUAUUCAAUUUAAGGGAUUAAAUUACUAUUUUGUAUAUUUGAACGACUAAAUCGACCGGCCCUUAAUAGGAAGUAGGAACUCAUCCAUUACCAUACCAGCAUACCUACAAACGAAUAAUAUACAACCUUUCCUUAUUUAAACAAACACCAGACCCUUAUUUGUUGGAGAAAUUGUACUCAAAUCUCCUUGGUGAUGCUAAAAUGACACACACUUUUCUAUUUUGUAAAAAUAUACGAGAGAUAACACACUGGAAGACGGAGUGAGUAAAGUUUUCCCCAAAAAAUAUCAGAUUCUCUAUUCUAUGGACUUCUGUGAAUUAAGAAGGGGGGAUGAUCCUAAUAUCUCAGUUACAGCCACUGUUUCUUUUGGUAUCAACUAAGUUUGCAAUUGAUAUAAAGAAAACUGGAAACACCCGAGUUUUGUUAUAUUUUAAUUAGUUGAGACCUUGCAACCAUCUAAUCAACUUAGUCCGUCUUCACAGUACGGGGAAAGCAUGCGUUACUAAUUCAAAAAUAAAUGCCACCACCUCGGAAAAACAAUGAGUGGGUAAAGAUCCAUAUCAAGCAACAGCAAUUGGCUACCAGUACAAUUCUUUUGUAAAAUCAUGUUACAUAUGUGGCAUUAAUAGGUAACAAGGAAAAAGUAAGUAGUGUAAAUUGUAUGGUUUGGUGUUAAGAAAAAACCUUAUCAGUAAACCUUUAACAGAUAUAUUCACAAAGAAUGUGAGAAAGAAUCUGCAUUUCUUAGUAUGUGUCCAUGCUCCUUUUCGGCUGUCUACUUCACAAGUAUGUGUCCAUGCUCCUUUUCGGCUGUCUACUUCACAAAAAAGUGAACAAUUGCUCCAAAGUAGUCUUGCAGCUGAGACAAUGAAGUAGAUGUUUGCCCAUCAAAACAUUAUAGAGGAAUUGUUCAACCAAAUAAUGGAAGUAAUGAAAGUGAUCAAUGCAUCAGAUAUUUCUCAUUAAAUAUGUUUGGUGUGUGCUGUGUGCAUGUAAUAAUGCCAACAUAUGUCGGACCAGGAUUGACUGCAGUCACACAAUCUUCUAGCAAUUGGAUGUGCUACCGUUAUUUCAUGGCCCUUGGUUUACUUUAAUAAAAAAAAUUAGAAAAAAUACAGGUUGAGAGAGAUAGAGAGAGAUGACCGCAGGGAAUCUGUUUCCACAUAUGUCUGUAUGAGUUUAUCUCAGUUCAUGUUAUGUAUUGUCCUAAGUACAUGUAAAUAAAAAAAGUAUAUCCAAUGUUCACCUGGGUAAUGAUAUUUUUUCCAGUUUGACCUUCAAUAACUAGACCCGCUGUUAGGCCAAUCAUUGCCCAAGCUCCAUUAAUUGCCUCAAUUUGGCGUCUUUUCUGCAAUCACAACAUAAAGUCGGUAAGUUUAUAGUAAACUGAGGAGCAUGGUUUCAUUGUGUUAUACUACUCAGUUUUCUACUGUCUUUCACCUUAAGUUUUUCUUUUGCUUUAAUUAUCUCCAUUUGUUUGGCAGCCAAUCGCUUGGCUUCCACAGGAUCAACCAUGAUUACAUCCUUUUUUGAACCAUCCUUUCCAGAAGAUACCUGUAUAAUUAUAUGUCGAUCUCAUUAAACAUAAAUGAAAAGAAAACCGCAAAAGGGAAGAGGAAUGAAAUAAUUUAUUUUGUCAUAGAAAAGUAGAAGGAAGCAACAAAGCUGGGUUUUAAUUAUUAGAUUCAACUGAUAAUGAUAAAUUGAUAAUUAAAUUUAUUGAAUUACAUUGAUAGAGACACAAAUAUUACAAGAAAGUCAUUCUCACAUUAAGUAAUCGGUAUUUUAAAAUAGCUAAAGCCUAUAAGUCUAUAAUUCCCACUGAUUUUCCAACUUUGUCAUUGCUUACUAUGUUAUGAUUUUUUCCCUUUUCCAUAUCCUGUUAUCCUCUUAAAUUUUGAACCUACCACUUCUCUCCUGUACAUUUGUAUUUUUGUGCAAGUAAAUAUGUUGACUAUAGCAUAGAAUCACAGGAAGUAGAAACUAGAACAUAUAUGAAGUAUUGAAAUGUAUAAAAGCAACACAAGUAAAGAACCAUUUGAGAUCAUAACUAUAUACUUGAGAAACAACCAAUCUGAAAUAAAAGAUCAAUUAUUUUCAACCAACAACACACACACACACACACACACACACACACACACACACACACACUAGGAAGUGUUCAAUUAAUGCAUACAUUGGGAUUAGCAAGGACUCGAAAUGCUUGACUCUGGGUUCUAUUGGAAGCCAUGCUUGCGUCUUGCUCUCUUCUCCAUCCCCACCUAAAACAAUAAGGUUAAUCUCAUUAGUUAGCAAUAACAAAACAGCGUCCUUACCCUACAGGUUUGCCAUGCCGAUUCUUAUUCAAGCAGAUAAAGUCCAACAACUAUCAGUUAGAUUCUUCCUAAGGUCAAAUUUUUAUCCUCAGGGUGGUUUGUUAUUUAUUUUUGUCGAGUCAAAGCAAUGUCGUUUACUACUAUAAUGUUUAUAACAUCCAAAAAGUAACAGACGCUGGAAUUCCUAAAGCAACCCUGCUAAUUUUCUCAAAUUGAUCUGCAAUUUUCAUUGAUUUCUUGAUUGAAAUGAAUCAUUGUCUCAGAACAACUGUUGUUCAGGUAUGUCAAUGAUGAAUACUGUUUUUCAAUCAUUUUAAUUCCAGGGCAAAGUUGCAUAAAUUCUAAUUCCUAAAACUUACAAAUCUAUUCAUUUUUAGUUUGCCUUAAAAAAUAGAUAGACAAUGAUAAUGAUAAGAAUAACACCAGAUACUACACCCCAGAAGCUUCUAUUUCCAAAUUUUUAUUUCUAAAGCUUCAAUUUAACAUUCAUUUCAUGUGCUUUCACAACAACAAUAAAAAACAUGAAGAAAGAAGUGAAAGGGGAGAGUGAAAUAAUUACUUGGCGGUGGUCGGAAAAGAGUGGUGGGUAUGAUGAAAGGAAGGGAAUUGAGCGUUGGAUAGAGGAAGAAUGGUUGAAGAAGCCAUUGCUCACACCUUCGCUUUAUCCUUUCCCAAUUUCUUUUCUCACUUUCCAACUAACAUUACUACUACUUGUUUUUUAUUUUUAUUUUAUUUUCAAUUUAAAAAAACAUGGAAUUUCAAAUUUUGUCAUACUCAACUUUUCAACAAUUAGCAACAUACUUCUUUCAAAACAAAAAUAUAUUACUUCGAAUUUUGUUUAACAAUUGUUUUUUGAGUUUUUCUAUUUCCACCCCAUGUUUUUCUGGUUACACCCAAAUUUUUUUUAAAAAAAUUUAUAAUAUCAAAAUUGCCCUUUUAUAUAAAUUUUCUUAAAACUUUAAUUUUAUUCAUUGUCAGUGAGUUUUACCCUCUUUCACCCCAUAAAGCGAUCGAUCAAACAAUUUGAUGUUCAAUAUCAAUCUCUAUGAAAAUUAAAGAGUGAAUCAAAAUAUUUUUCAUCCAUACUCAAUUGGAUAUAAGUAAGUGAAUUUCUUCUUCUAUUUGCUAGUUUCAAUUUUUUUUCCUUCACCUGCACUGAUGCACUGUACGAUUACGGUUUUAAUUUACAUUGGCAAGGUUAACUUAAAUUCAGUUUAAGUAGGUUCAUGUAAACUAAGUUUACAUGAACCUACUUAAACUGAGUUUACAUGAACCUACUUAAAUUGAGUUAACAUGAACCUACUUAAACUGAGUUUACAUGAACAUAUUUAAACUGAGUUUACAUGAACAUAUUUAAACUGAGUUUACAUGAACAUACUUAAAUUGAGUUUACAUGAACCUACUUAAACUGAGUUUACAAAAUCGCAGAACUGUGAAUCGCAGAACAAGGAAAACACAAAAUCAGAACUGAGAACCCAUAACAAGAAAAACACAAUCGAUUGAAGAACAACACUUGCUAACCUGAUUUGCUUCGAAUUUUCUUUGAAAUCAUGAAUGGACGUGAGAAAGUAUGGUUUUGAAAAUCUUCGCAGAACACAAUCGAUCGGUUGGAGAAUUAUGGUUUUGGAAGAAGGGUUUUGGGGUGUAACCAAAAAAGAAGGAAUGGGCUUUUUGAAAAUCAAAUUUUAUGAAAGGGUAAUCUUGUCAUUUUGGGGUGCAACCAUGAUUAACUAGGGUGCAAGUAGAAAAACUCUUGUUUUUUUUCAUUUGAACAAAACAAUUAAUAAUGUAUUAUGAAUGAUGAUAUUUCAACAAUCAUUUUGUAACAGUUUUUAGAACAAUUUUCAUACGAAUAUCAUUUUUCUCAUGUAUUAUUCUAUAAAAUAUGUAUCUCUAGAGUAAGUAAUUUAUGUAACCAAAAAAAAAAAUAAGUAGGUAAUUUAAUUGCAAUUUUAACAUCUCUUACAAUUCCCUUUUAACUCAAAAAGAAUUGAAUUCAUUUUUUGUGUGCCUCAAAACCGUGUAUAACUAGAUCAGGUAGGAUUAAAUUUAUUUUCAAGUCAUUCAAAAUCGAAUCGAAUCGGAUAUUUUUUUUUAUCAACUGUACAUUGCUUCUAACUUUGGUUCAAAUGAUCUUUUGUGUGCCUCAAAACUGAUUUAAAUUGCACCAUAAACACUCUACCUACUAACCAAGGUUAGGUUCCGUUUGGAUUGGCUUAUUUUAAGCUUAUGUGGGCUUAUAUACUCUCAUAAGCCUUUUUAAAGGUGUUUGGGUAAAUAAAUAAAAAUAGCUUAUCAUAGUUUUAUAAGCUGCUUAUGUCAUAUUUCAAUAAGCCUAAAUUUUCAACUUACCCUCCGGCUUAACAAGGAGCUUAUGAAUUUAUGCAACCUCCUUCGAUUCUCUCUGGAUCCACUUUUUCAAAACAUAUAUUUUAAUUAUAAUGUUAGUUAUCUUUGACGGUGCAUGAGUAACAAAAUUGUUAUAUACUUAUCUUACUAAAGUAACACACGUAACUGAGAUUUUACUAUUAUUUUUUUAAGGAAGUUUUUUAUUAUUUUUUUGUUACGUAACAGAAUGAAACUGAAUAAAAAAACAAACUUAACUUAAUAACUUUUUUAAGGGCGAAUAUUGAUUAUACUAUAUAUAUAACUUUAUUGAUUAUACUAUAUAUAUAUAUAUAUAUAUAUAUAUAUAUAUAUAUAUAUAUAUAUAUAUAUAAUUAAUAUAUUAUAAUAUUGUUUUUUACAUCUUGAUUAAUUUUAUCAAAAAAAGUCAUGAUAAUUGUGGUUCGAUUCUCUGAUUUUUUUGUUAAAUUAAAAAUAUUUAAAAUUUUGAUAAUUGCUUAUGCAAUGUCACAUCCAAACACUUCAAUUUAUGUAAGUACUUUUUAGUGUACAUAUCCAAACAUAAAUAGUUUAUCAAGUAUAAGAGCUUAUGAUGUAAGCUCUAAUAUUAUAAGCUCUAAUGCUAUAAGCAUCUAUAUAAGUUGUUUGGAGUCUAAGUAUAGCAGAAUGAACUAGUUUUUAUACAACGUAAUAAAUCAAUGUUCAACUCUUAAUUGAAAGCGGUGUCACCUUUGUAUUCCAAUUUAUAGUGAAUGAUUUUAAAUAGAUUUUUAAUUAUCGCAUCCUAAUGUAAGGUUAUGUAAGAAACUUAAAUUUACAGUGGUGUAUUUACGGUGAAAACAAUGGAUCUGGAUCCUCUCCAAUUUGUUCUCUCCAGCAGUCCAUCCUGCGCCAAUAUAAGUCUUUGGAUUAAUCUGAAGACAAAAGGGAGAAAUAAUAAUUUAUAAUAAAAAAAUCUGCAUUAAAUUAAAUCAGAUAAACUGUGUUCAUCGUAUUUUUCCUUGUAUUCACAAAACCGUGAUUCGGGUUUAGGUCAAGGUUAAAAAAGGCAUUAGAUUUUAUUUUAUUAGAUUCAUUUUUUUAAUGAAUUUAAUAACUUAUUCAUUCCGUGUUCCCUUCAAUAAAAUAAAAAAAAAUAUUCAUUCUGCGUUAACAUAUUUAAUAUGGUCAUGCAAUCAUAUUUUACCGUCUUGUUGUAUUUUCUUCUCACCGCACCACCACUUUUCCGCCACCUAAGUCCCAAUCAAACCCGUUUUUGGAACUACGCCCAUGUUACGAAAAUUCUGCUCGACGACAACAUUGAAAGCAUGAAACAAAAGGAUCGUGAUGAGAUUGGUCGUGGAACAACGUCGUGACGGCGAUGUCUGGCCGCAUCUCCUCCGGUCGUUGUCCUUAUUCAAUCAAUUGGAAAGUAUAUUGUGAAGAUGAAUUUCAUUUUGUUUGUAUUUAGAUUGAUUUAAUUUUGUUUUACACAAAGUGAUUGAAAUUACAAACUUUAUACAUUGUGAAGUCCAUGGCCCCAUAAUGGUAAGAUUAGUUUGUUCCAUGUGAAAGGGUAUGAAAGAGGUCGAUCGAUAAUCCUUGCUCAAUUUUCUCCUUUGAGUUGCAGUGACUUGGACUGAUUUUUCAUAAGUGAAGAAGAGGAUGUGUUGCACAUUAGAAAAAAAAAUAACGAGAUACAUCUUUCUCUCUCCAUUAAUUGCCAUUUUCCCCCUUUUUUUGUGUGAACCGUUGGAGGAGAGAGGGCAGUAGACAAACAGCAGGAGGGGAUCCAAUUCCGAAAACACUAGUACUACUUCUUAACUGUGUACUAUUUGUGUAUAGAAGCGGGACUUGGUUCAGCUCAAACACUUUCAACAACUUAAACUAUGUUCACCAAAAAUUUCACUUCUCAACUUCCCUUCUACGAUAUCUAAAGUACAAGUAUUUCUUGUGUCUUUACGUGACAUAAAAGCCUAAAUUAACACAAACAAAACUAAAUAAAUGUACAAAAGUAUAAUUUCAUUUAAGGCAAAAGAUCAUGUUAGUUAUCCCACAUUCUCAUUGUUAGUGUGACCAAAAAAAGCAACUAGCUAGGAAGGUGUUUAAUUUACUAUUGACUUAAAAUUAAAUCUACAACUUAAACAAACCAAAAAAAGAAACAAAGAAAAACAAAAAAUAUUACAAUAUCACAAUACAGAGAGUUGGGUUUCUUGAUCUUCAUCAUCUACUUGAUGAAAUUCCUUAAUUGGAUGCCGUUUUCUACAUUCACUGUAAUAAACCGUCAUUAUGACGUAACUCAAAAGCACCACAAAUCCAUAACAAACUAUCACAUACACUUUCUCUUCAAAACCCAUCGACGAAUCCUCACCGUCCAUAGAUUUCUCUAUCCUCCACCUGAUCAAACUCGAAACCCACACAAAUAAACCCGAAAGAACAAACCCACAAACCCGGUUUCCCUCCAUCAAAUCGGAUCCGGUUUUUAUUGCUUCCCACCCGAAUCUCUCUUCCGCCACGGAAACCACCAAUCCGACGCUCAACACCGCCAUCAAGUAAACUUCGAGACCCGACCUGAAUAUGAGAACAAGGAGAUGCGAUCCAGUGAGUGCGUUGAGGAAGAACGGCAAGGAUGAAAAAACGAAGAGAGUGAAGUAUACGAAGAUCGACGUUACGAAAACACGCAUGAUGUUGGGUUUAAGGGAUGCGACGGCGGAGUUAACGGUGGGGGUAGGGAUGAGAGAGGAGUGAACGGCGGCGAGGGUGGCGAUGAGAGAGAAAACAUAAGCAGGGAAAGAGAAAAGGGCUUUGAUACGGAUGAGGAAAACAGCGUUGUCACGAGAUUCGUGCCAAACGUGACGAGCUUCGAAAUGGGUGGAAGCGAAGUGAGCGAGGGCUUCAAGGUGGCGGAUUUGGGAGGUGAGUUGGUGGGUGAAGAUGGAUUGGUAGAUUGAGAGGAUGGAGAGAGGGAGGGUUGUGAGGAGGAAGAUGGUUGUGAAAAGGAAUUUGUUUGUGGUUAGGAUUUGGAGAGAGUUGAAUAGGAUUUUGAAUGGGGUGAAGCAACGCCAUACAGCGCCGGCAUCGCACAUCUCUUACUGGCUACUGUCGGUGGAUCAUGGAGGAGGAAGAUGAUGAUGGUUUUAGGUUUCCUUCUUGGUUAGGACUGAGGAAGGUCGCGACCAAGUGGGGGUGGGGAAAAUGAUAAUUAAAUAAUAAAUAAUUAUAAAAAAAGAUGAUUUUAGGUUCCACUCUCUUUUCAUUUUUUGGGGUUUUAAUUUAUUAAAGCUGUUUUUUUUUUAAGCAAUUAAUUAUAAUUAGUUCAAGUUUUUUUUUUUUUUUUUUUUUACAAGAAAUAAUUAGUUGAAGUUAUCAAAGACAAAUACUAUAUUUUUCGUUCAAAUACAAAUAUGAUAUGAACCAUGCAUAAUAUAUGUAAGGUCUUUGAACCCGACACAAAAAAAAAAAAAAAAAUCUGUUCAAAAAUAUAUAUAAAUUAAAAUAAAUAUAUUAUUUUUUUGAAAAGAAAAAAAAAAAUCUAUACUCACAAAAUUUGUAUCAAAAGUUAAGUUAAUAUUGUGAACUAAAUUGGAACUAAAGUGGGUAAAGGGUCAAAAACUAUUGAAUCGAAAACUCCUUCAAAUUUUUAAUUAACUUAACUUUAGUUCUAAAAUGUGAAAAACUAUUGGGUCGAGGAAUGCUAGGACAGUUGGUCACACACUCUCUUAAGUGUAUGGUUCCACGUGUCCCUCCUUUUCAAUUUUUAUUUGCUAACCGGUUCAGCAGGUAGAGAUAUUUUUCAAACACUGUUUUUUUUUUUUUUUUUUUUUUUUUUAAUUCCUUAUUGUUUUUACACUUAUCAUUGUUGUGAAUCCAACUCCCCCGUCGUCUUCCUCGCCGUAUGCGGUACCCGGCGGUGGUUGUUUUCAGAUGAAGUAAAAACCUCUAAUGGUUAUUUGAUAUUUGGACUGGAAGCCAAGUGAACAUAUUUUUCCACUGUUUGGUCAAAUUCUUGUGUGCGGCGGAGUCCACUUGACCACCAUUGUAGAUUUCAUCCUCCCGCAACUGCAACCCAGAAAAUUUUGAGUGAUUCAGUGUUUUUUUUUAUGCAAUGUUUGAAUGUCAGCUAAUAUUUCAAUAGAAAAUCGAUUGAAUGCUUUGAUUUAUACAAUUAAUAAUUGAAGAUUUGAACAUAGGUAGUUGUGUAAGCUUUUCUCCAUGCAGGAUUAAAUAUUGAGACUUGUAUAUGGCAGUGGCGGUCCGUUUGCAGAGAUGGCUUGGCUUUUGAGAUGCCAAUAAUAAAAAAUAAAAAUAAAAAAGUAAUAAAAACAUUUCAUUCUUUAAAUGCCGGUAAACAAGGUAAGUAGAUAAAUAAGUGAAAACGUGGCACCAUACACAUAAAAAGUGUUUGUUGGAGAGUGUUUGAGUGAGUGACCAUAGCAUUAUUCAUUAUGGCUCGCCUUCUUUUGAACCUAUAUACUCUUUAUUUUGAAAGACAACAUUCAGGGUUAACUUCGGAAACCUCUUAGUCCUUAGAAUUCCAUUUGUUUUAUAGAGGACAUGGAUACACGCAUUGAUUAUCUACGAGAUUUCUCUAUAAAUUAUCUUGUGUUGAAUUGUUGAGGGGCUAAUGAUUGUAAUUUUCAUUCUAUUAUCUACGACAACGAGAUAAUUUGUCGUGUUGAUUUUUUAGCGCAUCUUGAGACAAGUUAUUAAGAAAAUUUGUAUGCAAACUGUUACAUUGGAUGUUGUUCACAUUUUUGCUCGGAUCUGGUGCCUCUGGAGAUCAAAUAAGUUUUGAGAUGAAAAAACAAAGAAAUAGGACAUAACACAAACUACACUUAGAAAAUAAGAAGUCACCAAAAAGAACAAAUACAGGUUCAACCUUGAGAAAAAUACAAAGCACAAAAAAACAAGUAGCUCCUAAAAGGGGAAAAAUACAAAAUCAACAUGACAUAAAAUCAUUAACACCCAAAAACAUCAAUCACGGUCUGCUGGAUCCUGAUCGAACCACCAUCUCCCGAAACAUCAAAGCUAGGAAGCACUUGACAACCUACAAAAGAAAUUAAAGUGAACAAUCCCCAACGGGAUGAGCGACUAGGACAAGGUCCCACUACCAGAGAUAGGGCGACCUAGAACGCCUCCUAUACAUAAUAAUAUUGGGCUCCAACAUACGACAUAGGUCACUUCUGACUCAUAAAAGGUACAUUGCCUAGCUUAACCACCCAAAGAUAUUAUAUCAAAUAUGGAGGGCCAUGUUACAAGUGACAAACACAUGAAUGACUGAUUCCUCAAUCAAUUCACAAAAGGAGGAUGAGGAAGCAUUCAGAUCCAUGAUCACCCUUAUUUUAAAAAGAUUAUCACGGGUAAUGAUCCUAUAACGGAUAAGCUUCCAAGAGAAUGCGAUCACCUUGACAUUUCCCUACAUAUGGUAUUUUGUGUUGUUAAAUACUAACAUGGUAACUUGUAUUAUGCAUACAUAUAUGUAAAAGGAAAUAUCUUCUUAAACACAGUUGAACACGCUAGGAAGGGACAAUGACAAAGAUCACACAUCUUAUCUGCAAACAUUAUGUUUACCACGCUCCUCGGAGACCAUCACUGUAAUUUAUAAAGAGAAAAUUUCAUUCGACUGAAAGGAUUUCAGAACAUAAUAAUUUACCAAGUGACAAGGUAGCAUAGAGAUGAUCAAUUGGAAGACGAACAUAGGAUUUGAAGUAAUAAGAAAGUCAUGAAUCCAACUAUUCACAAGUAACUUUGUUAUUUUUAGAAAAACACAUUAAUGAUUCUAUUUUAUCCAAAAGGUGGGAGAAAAUAUCUUUAUUCAUACAACUUUUAAAAUGGAUAUAUAAUGGACUUCACUUAUAUAUACCAUUAAAAUGGAAAUGUCAUUGACAUUGACCAAUCCAAUUAUAAUAAAUACAUCAAUUCAAUUAUUUUUUUUUUCUCUCUCUUUCACAUAUUUUUAUGUUCAAAAAAUUUAUAUUAAGUGUAGCACGGUGUUACAUUAAAUGGACCAAUGUCAUCUGAUAUUAUGUCACACAAUUGACAUCCUAUAAUACUCUAACUAUUUCAUUUUGAACUGCAACAAUAAUAAUAUUAAUAAUCCUUUAGGUGUUUUCCCUUUAAAUAAACACUAUAGUGUAGACACAUUGGAACCAAAAGAUAUAAAAAUAAAUACGGAGUAACCACUUUCAUAUUAUUUUUUUGUUUUGUCUUUCAUAGUUGCCACAAUGUUUACCAACAGGCAAUAACAACAUUAUCUAUUGCGGUGGUCUCCCCCCACAGAGAUAAGGUUGUCAUAAUCACAAGUCUAUCCCAGUCCUCAUCCAACUUCAAUUAAAAAUGUUGUAAGCAUGCACAAGAUCAGGCAUUGUCUCUAGCUAGUCGUAGAGGCCGUUGCAUCGUGCAAGAGGCAGUAGAUGGUAUCGUUUAAAUCUCCAUAAUAGUAUACAAAUAAUUUCUACUGACGAUUUAUGGGCAUAAAACUACUUUAGAAAUAGAAAACAAGGUUACAACACAACAGCGCACACUACUUUCAUAAUCUUUGACACAGGUCGAAUAUCAGCUAUCUCCCUGUAACUAUUAUGAACUUAUAUCUAGAUUAUAAGCAAAUAUUGUCUAAUCCCUACAACUUUACCAAAAUAUAUAAGUUUCCAGUACAAUGCAACCAUAAAUUGUCCGCAUAAACAAAAAAUACAACUAUAAACUGAUUAAGAAUAUAUAAUCUCAACACUUGUGUACUCCAAUGCAAAGUCAAUUUCGGGAAAUGCUACACUAAUCAAUUUGUCAUGCAUCUAACAAUGACAGAAUGUCUUAUUCAAUAUAUAAAAUGCUUUCUACUCAUUGUUUUUGUCUCUAUCUCCUUCAAACAUAAUAUCUGUUAUGUUAAAGAUCUUGGUAUUAAACAGGAGGAAAGAGUGAAGGAUUGCUUGAUAACAACAAUACAGUAAUUAACGAGCGAUCUAACUCUCAAGAUCGUACGAUCUUGCGAUUCAACAAGCCACCACCGAUCUGGAGCGGGUUGAAGAUCGGAGAUCGCGACGGAUUGGGCGUCGCGCCGAGGAAAAACGGAAACUCGGCGAAUCGUUUUUUUUUUUUUUCGAUUCAAAGAAGGGGUUUGGGCGGUUCAGAUGACGUUGACCUGAUCCGAUUUGGUUGCGACCCGGGUUGGUUAUUGCGAUUUCAACCCGUAUCGCUUUGAAAGGUCAUAAUCUAUCAUUAAUUUCGUUUUUUUGGGACUUGCUGGUGUUUAAUUGAAUCAUUAGGUUAGGAAAUUGGGAUUUUUUUCUCAUCUUCUCUGAAAUUGUAAUUCAUUCAAUGAAUCAAUUCCCUCUCAUAUUUUAUUUAUUCUAUAAAAACAAGUCCAUUGUGCAAUUCCUUCUCAAUCUCACUGUGCAAUUCCAAAAAGACAGUACUUCAAUUCCCUCACAUCUUUCACGUUUUUAGACGAUGUUUAUUAUGAUGUUUCAGAUGAUAUUAUAGAUUUUUGUAGUUACUUUUAUAAUUUUGUCUAUUAUGGAAGAUCUUACAAUCCUUGUUACUAUCCUACAAUCUACGCUUUUUCUAUAUCCCAAUGAUCUUUAGUCGGAUCCUGAUUUCGACAACCAUGCUCCCAUGCCCAAUCAGAAAAUAAUCAAUCUUCUUUAAUAUGUCCUUUGCUUCUUUAAUAUGUCCUUUAUAUAAAAAAAGAGCAAGGACUUCAUGUCAAAAUUUUACAGGGGGAUGCAUUCAUCAAGAACACAAGUUAAAACACCAAAUUUCAUUGGCUUUUUGGAUUGGUAUAUCUGAGUUUACCUACUACCAUAAACACUUAUGAGACAAUUUAAGAGAGCUUAUGGAAAUAUCUUAUAACAUGUCUAUAAGUUGUUCUCCGCUUAUUUUCAUAAUCUAUGAAGGAUAAAUAAAAACAAACGUAUAUCAAAAUAGCUAGCCUAUAUUUUAUCUUUUGUUUUGUUAUGGAAAUAGCUUAUUGCCAUACACAAACAGGACCUCUAACCAAUUAGAGAACGCAAUUGAUUAGGCAGAUUGUAAUCAUGAUCCAAACAAAUUGAACCAAGCAAUUGAGAGCAAACAAUAAAACUACCAAAAUCUAAGGAUCAAGGACUGUGCAAAAAUGAUGAAAUGAAACUCGGGUGAAGACAAUUCCAUUAAAAACUACUCUGAGAAUCAUAAGAUUACAAAAGCACAAUCCCCCACAAAUUAGCUUCCUCCAAAAUGGGAAACAUGUAAAAAAAAAUAACCUUCGUGCAAUUCAAGCACAAGGGUACUAACUACUAAUACUAUUCUACUAUACAUUCAUAGAUUAAAUUCAUUCAACAUUAAUAUUACAUAGCCUGAGAAAAAGCUAAAAAAAAAAACUCACAAGCUAUUUAUUAUUACAAAAGGGUGAAACCAUUGUUGUUAUUAGAGCAAUUCCAAAAUCGUGAAGAACCUUCUUCAUCUUGUUCUACAACCGAACCUUGAGAAGUUUGAGGGUUAGACCGAACCGGUGUACGGCAAGUAGGACACGUGGCAACCUUAAGAAGCCACGUAUCAAUACAUCUCCGAUGAAAAACAUGACCACAAGCAGCGAGAUUUCGACACCAUUGACCAUUACGAAAACCAUCCAAACAAACAGCACAACGAGAAUCGGGUUCGGAAACGGAUCCUUUGGUUAUCCGGAAGUUGGGGAGGUUGUUGAUUUCGCGAGGGAGGAAAGCGUCGGUGAGAGAUUGAAGACGUCGAGUUGGAGUAGGACGGAAACGGAGACGGUGGAGAGCACCGGCUAAGAGGAAGAGGUUGAGGAGGAGAAAGGCGGCGAAACCGAGGAAGAGGAAGAAGAGGGAUGUGAGAAGAAGCAUGAUGAUGGGUUUGAGGAAUAGGGAGAGGAGAUUAGGGUUUGGUUUUGGUUGUUCAGGAUCGCCAUGGUGAUGAUGAGGAGGCAUGGUCGUGGUUGAAAUUGAAGGUUUGAAAAAAUGGUGGCAAUAAUAACAGAAGCUUGGAAUAGGAAUUAAACAAAUAGGAAGGAAUAUAGAAGAAAUGAAGGAAGGGUCGGGAUACGCGUAGAUGUAGUUACAAAUCUAGCGGCGGGUACGGUCCACGGGUUUAUAAUAAAUCUAUGUUUGUUUGUUUGGGUUGGGGGUAUUGUUUAUAUUUAUCGUCGUUAUCUUUCUUUUUAUCUUCAAACCAAAUUAAUUCACGGAUUCCAUUUCAUUCCAAAGGGGCAUAUGCUGCUAUAGAUUCCCCUCCGUUAGAGAGUAAUUGAUGCCUCAUGAGUAAUGAAUGGGUGAGAUCAAAUCUCUGUAAAGUUGGUUAAACUACGGAUUUGAAUUUGGCGUUAUAGAAAAGCACACUGUUCCACACUGGAAUGAAUCACAGUCGUUCAAAUCACAUUGAAUGGCUCAGAUUGCACACAAAUUUAACGCAGUUAAAUAAUUUCAGUAAUUGAUUUAAAUCGAACGGUCCUCAUCUGUUACAGCGUCCUACUGUAAUAGCAGGAAAUCCAAACACUGCAUCAAUUGGGGUUGUUGGAUCGCUUUUAUAUUGUCGAGAUCAUCUAAUGUGUGAAGUAGUAGUUAUAGAGAGAGUAUUUGAUCUCGCAUCUAUUAAACAUUAAAAAUUGAGAUGUAAUGAUAGAGAUUUAUUGAUAGAUAAUGAUAUAAACUUAUUAAUUAUUAGUGAAUUCAUUUAAUGAUUUUUUUUCUAGUGAUGGGGUUACAGGAUAAAGUGCUUAUUUAGUACUAUUAUCGAAAAGUAAUAAAUGAAUGAUGUAUAUAUAUAUAUGAGACCCAAUUAAGUAAGGACUUUCAUGCAAUCCUUCGUCAAUGNCUGGAAACACCACUUCCCGUUCGACUUGCAUGUGUAAAGCAUGCCGCCAGCGUUCAUCCUGAGCCAGGAUCAAACUCUCCAUGAGAUUCCUAGUUACAUUACUUAUAGCUUCCUUGUUUGUAGACAAAGCUGAUUCGGAAAUUCAUUUCAAUGAAUAACUUGUAUUCAAGGGCUUAAUAUUCGCCGGGAGAUCCCUCCCAUAAAUAUUAUAUGGUCCUAUAUCACCUUAUGUCAACCCCAUAUCCAAUAUCCAUAAUGGUUAUUUGAUAUUUGGACUGGAAGCCAAGUGAACAUAUUUUUCCACUGUUUAGUCAAAUUCUUGUGUGCGGCGGAGUCCACUUGACCACCAUUGUAGAUCUCAUCCUCCCGCAACUGCAACCCAGAAAAUUUUGAGUGAUUCAGUGUUUUUUUUUAUGCAAUGUUUGAAUGUCAGCUAAUAUUUCAAUAGAAAAUCGAUUGAAUGCUUUGAUUUAUACAAUUAAUAAUUGAAGAUUUGAACAUAGGUAGUUGUGUAAGCUUUUCUCCAUGCAGGAUUAAAUAUUGAGACUUGUAUAUGGCAGUGGCGGUCCGUUUGCAGAGAUGGCUUGGCUUUUGAGAUGCCAAUAAUAAAAAAUAAAAAUAAAAAAGUAAUAAAAACAUUUCAUUCUUUAAAUGCCGGUAAACAAGGUAAGUAGAUAAAUAAGUGAAAACGUGGCACCAUACACAUAAAAAGUGUUUGUUGGAGAGUGUUUGAGUGAGUGACCAUAGCAUUAUUCAUUAUGGCUCGCCUUCUUUUGAACCUAUAUACUCUUUAUUUUGAAAGACAACAUUCAGGGUUAACUUCGGAAACCUCUUAGUCCUUAGAAUUCCAUUUGUUUUAUAGAGGACAUGGAUACACGCAUUGAUUAUCUACGAGAUUUCUCUAUAAAUUAUCUUGUGUUGAAUUGUUGAGGGGCUAAUGAUUGUAAUUUUCAUUCUAUUAUCUACGACAACGAGAUAAUUUGUCGUGUUGAUUUUUUAGCGCAUCUUGAGACAAGUUAUUAAGAAAAUUUGUAUGCAAACUGUUACAUUGGAUGUUGUUCACAUUUUUGCUCGGAUCUGGUGCCUCUGGAGAUCAAAUAAGUUUUGAGAUGAAAAAACAAAGAAAUAGGACAUAACACAAACUACACUUAGAAAAUAAGAAGUCACCAAAAAGAACAAAUAAAGGUUCAACCUUGAGAAAAAUACAAAGCACAAAAAAACAAGUAGCUACUAAAAGGGGAAAAAUACAAAAUCAACAUGACAUAAAAUCAUUAACACCCAAAAACAUCAAUCACGGUCUGCUGGAUCCUGAUCGAACCACCAUCUCCCGAAACAUCAAAGCUAGGAAGCACUUGACAACCUACAAAAGAAAUUAAAGUGAACAAUCCCCAACGGGAUGAGCGACUAGGACAAGGUCCCACUACCAGAGAUAGGGCGACCUAGAACGCCUCCUAUACAUAAUAAUAUUGGGCUCCAACAUACGACAUAGGUCACUUCUGACUCAUAAAAGGUACAUUGCCUAGCUUAACCACCCAAAGAUAUUAUAUCAAAUAUGGAGGGCCAUGUUACAAGUGACAAACACAUGAAUGACUGAUUCCUCAAUCAAUUCACAAAAGGAGGAUGAGGAAGCAUUCAGAUCCAUGAUCACCCUUAUUUUAAAAAGAUUAUCACGGGUAAUGAUCCUAUAACGGAUAAGCUUCCAAGAGAAUGCGAUCACCUUGACAUUUCCCUACAUAUGGUAUUUUGUGUUGUUAAAUACUAACAUGGUAACUUGUAUUAUGCAUACAUAUAUGUAAAAGGAAAUAUCUUCUUAAACACAGUUGAACACGCUAGGAAGGGACAAUGACAAAGAUCACACAUCUUAUCUGCAAACAUUAUGUUUACCACGCUCCUCGGAGACCAUCACUGUAAUUUAUAAAGAGAAAAUUUCAUUCGACUGAAAGGAUUUCAGAACAUAAUAAUUUACCAAGUGACAAGGUAGCAUAGAGAUGAUCAAUUGGAAGACGAACAUAGGAUUUGAAGUAAUAAGAAAGUCAUGAAUCCAACUAUUCACAAGUAACUUUGUUAUUUUUAGAAAAACACAUUAAUGAUUCUAUUUUAUCCAAAAGGUGGGAGAAAAUAUCUUUAUUCAUACAACUUUUAAAAUGGAUAUAUAAUGGACUUCACUUAUAUAUACCAUUAAAAUGGAAAUGUCAUUGACAUUGACCAAUCCAAUUAUAAUAAAUACAUCAAUUCAAUUAUUUUUUUUUUCUCUCUCUUUCACAUAUUUUUAUGUUCAAAAAAUUUAUAUUAAGUGUAGCACGGUGUUACAUUAAAUGGACCAAUGUCAUCUGAUAUUAUGUCACACAAUUGACAUCCUAUAAUACUCUAACUAUUUCAUUUUGAACUGCAACAAUAAUAAUAUUAAUAAUCCUUUAGGUGUUUUCCCUUUAAAUAAACACUAUAGUGUAGACACAUUGGAACCAAAAGAUAUAAAAAUAAAUACGGAGUAACCACUUUCAUAUUAUUUUUUUGUUUUGUCUUUCAUAGUUGCCACAAUGUUUACCAACAGGCAAUAACAACAUUAUCUAUUGCGGUGGUCUCCCCCCACAGAGAUAAGGUUGUCAUAAUCACAAGUCUAUCCCAGUCCUCAUCCAACUUCAAUUAAAAAUGUUGUAAGCAUGCACAAGAUCAGGCAUUGUCUCUAGCUAGUCGUAGAGGCCGUUGCAUCGUGCAAGAGGCAGUAGAUGGUAUCGUUUAAAUCUCCAUAAUAGUAUACAAAUAAUUUCUACUGACGAUUUAUGGGCAUAAAACUACUUUAGAAAUAGAAAACAAGGUUACAACACAACAGCGCACACUACUUUCAUAAUCUUUGACACAGGUCGAAUAUCAGCUAUCUCCCUGUAACUAUUAUGAACUUAUAUCUAGAUUAUAAGCAAAUAUUGUCUAAUCCCUACAACUUUACCAAAAUAUAUAAGUUUCCAGUACAAUGCAACCAUAAAUUGUCCGCAUAAACAAAAAAUACAACUAUAAACUGAUUAAGAAUAUAUAAUCUCAACACUUGUGUACUCCAAUGCAAAGUCAAUUUCGGGAAAUGCUACACUAAUCAAUUUGUCAUGCAUCUAACAAUGACAGAAUGUCUUAUUCAAUAUAUAAAAUGCUUUCUACUCAUUGUUUUUGUCUCUAUCUCCUUCAAACAUAAUAUCUGUUAUGUUAAAGAUCUUGGUAUUAAACAGGAGGAAAGAGUGAAGGAUUGCUUGAUAACAACAAUACAGUAAUUAACGAGCGAUCUAACUCUCAAGAUCGUACGAUCUUGCGAUUCAACAAGCCACCACCGAUCUGGAGCGGGUUGAAGAUCGGAGAUCGCGACGGAUUGGGCGUCGCGCCGAGGAAAAACGGAAACUCGGCGAAUCGUUUUUUUUUUUUUUCGAUUCAAAGAAGGGGUUUGGGCGGUUCAGAUGACGUUGACCUGAUCCGAUUUGGUUGCGACCCGGGUUGGUUAUUGCGAUUUCAACCCGUAUCGCUUUGAAAGGUCAUAAUCUAUCAUUAAUUUCGUUUUUUUGGGACUUGCUGGUGUUUAAUUGAAUCAUUAGGUUAGGAAAUUGGGAUUUUUUUCUCAUCUUCUCUGAAAUUGUAAUUCAUUCAAUGAAUCAAUUCCCUCUCAUAUUUUAUUUAUUCUAUAAAAACAAGUCCAUUGUGCAAUUCCUUCUCAAUCUCACUGUGCAAUUCCAAAAAGACAGUACUUCAAUUCCCUCACAUCUUUCACGUUUUUAGACGAUGUUUAUUAUGAUGUUUCAGAUGAUAUUAUAGAUUUUUGUAGUUACUUUUAUAAUUUUGUCUAUUAUGGAAGAUCUUACAAUCCUUGUUACUAUCCUACAAUCUACGCUUUUUCUAUAUCCCAAUGAUCUUUAGUCGGAUCCUGAUUUCGACAACCAUGCUCCCAUGCCCAAUCAGAAAAUAAUCAAUCUUCUUUAAUAUGUCCUUUGCUUCUUUAAUAUGUCCUUUAUAUAAAAAAAGAGCAAGGACUUCAUGUCAAAAUUUUACAGGGGGAUGCAUUCAUCAAGAACACAAGUUAAAACACCAAAUUUCAUUGGCUUUUUGGAUUGGUAUAUCUGAGUUUACCUACUACCAUAAACACUUAUGAGACAAUUUAAGAGAGCUUAUGGAAAUAUCUUAUAACAUGUCUAUAAGUUGUUCUCCGCUUAUUUUCAUAAUCUAUGAAGGAUAAAUAAAAACAAACGUAUAUCAAAAUAGCUAGCCUAUAUUUUAUCUUUUGUUUUGUUAUGGAAAUAGCUUAUUGCCAUACACAAACAGGACCUCUAACCAAUUAGAGAACGCAAUUGAUUAGGCAGAUUGUAAUCAUGAUCCAAACAAAUUGAACCAAGCAAUUGAGAGCAAACAAUAAAACUACCAAAAUCUAAGGAUCAAGGACUGUGCAAAAAUGAUGAAAUGAAACUCGGGUGAAGACAAUUCCAUUAAAAACUACUCUGAGAAUCAUAAGAUUACAAAAGCACAAUCCCCCACAAAUUAGCUUCCUCCAAAAUGGGAAACAUGUAAAAAAAAAUAACCUUCGUGCAAUUCAAGCACAAGGGUACUAACUACUAAUACUAUUCUACUAUACAUUCAUAGAUUAAAUUCAUUCAACAUUAAUAUUACAUAGCCUGAGAAAAAGCUAAAAAAAAAAACUCACAAGCUAUUUAUUAUUACAAAAGGGUGAAACCAUUGUUGUUAUUAGAGCAAUUCCAAAAUCGUGAAGAACCUUCUUCAUCUUGUUCUACAACCGAACCUUGAGAAGUUUGAGGGUUAGACCGAACCGGUGUACGGCAAGUAGGACACGUGGCAACCUUAAGAAGCCACGUAUCAAUACAUCUCCGAUGAAAAACAUGACCACAAGCAGCGAGAUUUCGACACCAUUGACCAUUACGAAAACCAUCCAAACAAACAGCACAACGAGAAUCGGGUUCGGAAACGGAUCCUUUGGUUAUCCGGAAGUUGGGGAGGUUGUUGAUUUCGCGAGGGAGGAAAGCGUCGGUGAGAGAUUGAAGACGUCGAGUUGGAGUAGGACGGAAACGGAGACGGUGGAGAGCACCGGCUAAGAGGAAGAGGUUGAGGAGGAGAAAGGCGGCGAAACCGAGGAAGAGGAAGAAGAGGGAUGUGAGAAGAAGCAUGAUGAUGGGUUUGAGGAAUAGGGAGAGGAGAUUAGGGUUUGGUUUUGGUUGUUCAGGAUCGCCAUGGUGAUGAUGAGGAGGCAUGGUCGUGGUUGAAAUUGAAG